rnacentral:lncRNA from 1 species
UUAUAGUGCCCGUAUAACAUUUGGACACAUCAGAGAGGAUGCCCAGUAUUGGAAACAAAAUUUAUGCUGCAGAAAAAAUCCAGACAUGAAGCAAUCAGGAUAUACACAUUCAGAGAUUCCCUUCGACGUUACUCAAAUCAGUCAAUUGUAUAUCCCGCAUAACAUUUGAACAAAUCAAAAGAGGAAGUAUCCUGACCACAUAUGACAAGCCAAUCCAGGGACACAGGGAUUCCCACCUACUCUAUCUAUCUACAAACAAAAUUUUCCCUCUCCAGCACCAGAAUGGGAGUGGUCAACUUGAGCUGCUUUACUGCAUUCUUCUUGAACUCAGCACGUCAGGAUCCAAAAUCUUAACAGCAACCUGUUACAGCAACAUACAAGGGAAUCAAAUACUACCAUCGUCAUCUCAAAAGCCUCACUUUUCAUAGCAAAAUAAGCUCAGAUCACAUUACUUCUUGUUGAUGAAAUCUAUCACGCUAACCAGAAAACUAACCAAAAAAUGGAAGGAAAUUGCUAAUGAGCCACAUCACAGAUCAAACAAAAAUGUUAUCUCUGUUUCAAGAAUUUCAGCCCAUGAAGUCACAUAUCAUCUAUUUGAAUAUGAUACACGAACAGUCCUGACCUGCUGGUAGCUUCUUCUUCUUCUGCAGCAGAACAACGUCGUCGCAGUCAACAGGCACCCUUCUUCUACCAAUCACCUCCGAAGCCCUCAAAAUGUUCUGAGGCAAGAAAUCUUCCCCCACCGGCGAAAAACCAUCUAGCUCCAGAAUGAGUAACCGCCUGGCGUGGCUCGGAGCAGCGGCCUGCCCGAGAUGAGACGCGGCGCCCUGCCCAAGAUGAGACGCGGAGGAGGUCGACGCGGCGCCCUGCCCGAGAUGAGACGCGGAGGAGGUCGACGCGGCGCCCUGGCCGAGAUGAGGCGCGGAGGAGGUCGAAGCGGCGCCCUCGGCGAGAGGAGGCGCCGAGGAGGUCGAGGCCCCCAGGCGGAGAGGAGGGGCCGGACUGGAGAUCCCGAGCCGGAGAGCCGGUGCGGAGGAGAAGGAGGCGGCGGCGGACGCCUCGAGGGCCUUCCGCUUCUUUCUUGACGACGCGGGGACGGCUUUGGCCUUCCCCUUGGCCUUGUCGCCGCGGGGGCUCGGGUAUAUCUUGGAUACGGCCAUGUCGGCGCCGCCGUCGAGCUUGCCUUCGUCCCCGGCAAGGGUGAGCUCCUGCAUUAUGUAGCCUUGCCGGAUUUCCUCGCCCUUCGCGUCCAACACCGUGAACGAGAACAUCUGCCGGGCUCCCUGGAUGGCCUCCGAGACGAGCGGCAGCGGGGACCGCUCGGAUUUCCAGGUGCCCCCGGGGACGCCUCUCUUCUUUCUCGAGUCCGUUGCAGUCUUGCGGCGGACGAGAUUGACGAAGUACAGCGCCGAGCUCCGAUCCGCGGCGGUCGCAGACGGGUAUGCCGCAAGAAGCUCUCGCGGAUGGUAGUUGUAGAUGUCCACGUUGAAGAGGAAGUACGGGGGCAGCAUCCAUGGGGCGAGACCCCUCACCCGAAGGCGGAGCACCCCGAGGAGCUCAAGGUGGCCCUCGUCCGUCGCCGGCGGCGGCAGGGGCCCUGGAGGCGGCAGCGGCAGGGGGGCUGGAGCGGCGGGCGCCUGACUCUCUUCGUCGCUUCCCUCCAUUUUCUUGAUCGGGUCGGGUUGGUUUGGUUGCCGUGGGUUUGGGCGGCCCGGCGGAGCGGGUAUUUGAAGGGGGGAGGAGGAGGGAGGCGGUUGCGGUUGCGGUUGCGGGAGGGAAGCAAAGAAAUUCAAUCUCUGUGUCUAACUGAAGAAGAAAUUUCAGAUGAGGGACAGAGGAAUUGGGUGUCUCAACUUAACUGAAGAAGAAAUUUCAUACGGGGGGCAGAGGAAUUGGGUGUCUCAACUUAACUGAAGAAGAGAUUUCAGAUCAGGGGCAGAGGAAUUGGGUGUCUCAACUUAACUGAAGGAGAGAUUUCAGAUCAUGGACAGAGGAAUUGGGUGUCUCAACUAAACUGAACUGAAGGAUCAUGGUAAAAAACCCCUGGUUCAGAGUUCAGAGGUUAAGGCAGAGUUCAGAGAAGCACAGGUGUACUGAACUAGAGGCUAUAUGUUUCAAGCAUUCAAUUUAGCAGUGCAGCCGGGCGCCAUCCGGGUUGUCGUCGAGACCGAUGCAAUGCUGCUGGAGCAGGCCAUGAAUCGCGAAGAACCAGACCUGUCAAGGUAUGCGGUGCCUAUUGAAGAUUUCAAGAUGCAGGCAGCACGCCUGUGCUUCUCUAGCUCUGCUAUUCGGUCAAUCUAGCAGCACACCUGUUAGCAAAACUAGGAAUUGGGUGUCCCAACUAAACUGAACUGAAGAAUCAGGGUAAAACCCCCCUGGUUCAGAGUUCAGAGGUUAAGGCAGAAGUCUGGUUCAAAGUUCAGAAGCUAAGGCAGCGACUGGAUGAUUUGUCGGACGCCUGCGAGAUGAGCUAAUCCAGAAAUGCUCAAAGGAGUUGGAUGAAAUAUCUGUACGGAGAAGAGAAGAUGCUAUGGCGUCAACGCUCUCGAGUCACUACUAUCAGAGAGGGGGAACAAAUCACCAUAUGUAUUUUCAACGAAAAGCAACAUGUCGACAAAGGAAAAAUAAGAUUAGGCAAACUAAAAGAUGCAGAGGGGAUUGGGUUCAGGAAAAGAAGAAGAUUGCGGAAAUGGCAACAGAAUUUUUUCAAGAAAAUUAUACGAAACUGAUGAUACUCUUGAACCAGAUGUGUUGCUGAACCUUUUUGAUGCAAAAGUCGGGCAGCACACACGGUCUGAAUCAUGGGCUCCGAAGGCGGUUGCGCACCGCGCCGUCAUCGAUAUGGUUGAAUCACAUACAGUAUGUGAUUGCUGAACAUAAUUGGUCAGAAAGCAACACAGUUGGGUCACUAAAUUUCUUUUUCCCAUAAUCUGAACAGAUGCUGCAUAAGCCAUCACUCUACCUUUCUGAAGAUAAGCGGCGCGCCUGUGCUUCUCUGAACACAGAGGGGAUUAGUGCAAUUAUACAGCGACCAAGUAGUUGUAUAUUGGAGAUGAACCUAUGAUCAUUUAGCAAUGCCUACAGUUUAAUGAAAACGUUCUGCCACCAUGCCAACUCUGACAGUCUGACCUUUGUAACAUAAGUGAUCAAUCGCCAGUGAGUCCGUAAAUGGGCUUCAGUUGUACAAUCAACUUCUUCAGAAAGAGCAUGCUGCAUAUUCUCUUUUGCUGCUACAAAACACGGAUUAAAAACCAUGUAAUUUGAACCUCACGCGAGACGGGUUCCACAUCAGUUACGCUGGCUGGACUGUGCUACUCCUGUACUAUAACACAUACUGCCUCUGUACAUUUUUAUAAGACGUUUAGGUAAAAGUUGUGACCUAAAACGUCUUAUAAAAAUAUACAGAAGGAGUAUAAAGAAAGCAGUGUUAAACAGGCCGCUUGUAAUCAACAACCAGUCAGAAAGUUAACAACGCGCUCAACUGAGAAAAGGAGGUGAUAAGGUGCACGCAAAUAUGCUAACCCGCACCCGCCCAGAUGCCAUGUGUGCAUUUUCAGGUCAGGCAUGUCAGUCUCCUGCCCAAACAGAUCAAACUCCUGCUAAUUGUCUGCAUCAGUAGUUUAACCCCCAUCAACUUCCUCAAAGAAGCACAAAAAGAAUAUGAGAGGUCAAUAUGCAGGCAGAGUGAGGAGGGGAAGUCGAAGAUGUGCCUAAACCAUCCCAAGCCGCCAUUACUUGAAAUAGAAGGGAUCAACGCAAGAGCCAUGGAUGCCGUGAAAGUAUUAUAUUUAGAUUGAAGCGGAAGGACAAAGGGGAGGUUGGGAAAAACAGUUGCUUGGACUUGGACAUCGUAAUGUCGCCGCCGGGGGCAGACGAACCACGACGGAGGGUGAAUGUUCUUCUUUUCCUCAGUCGAGACCAGAAGAGAAGUGACCCGACGAUUGGGCUGUUUCCCGGCCCGUUUAACGACAUGACGCCUUGGCAGCCCUUUUAUGUUUGGCAGGCCGGUAACGCAGGUUUGAUGCACUGUGAAAAUGAUGCAGUGACGCUCGGUCGGACAACUAAAAGAUCUGGACCGUGCAACAAUGUGAUCGGACGGCUCAAAGCAUUGAAUCGCUAUGGUGGCUCCUAGCUAGCUCUGUUUUACUGUUUUGUAAUAAGUGCAACAGCAUGUAGUGACUGAUUUCAGACAGCAGCUUUGGAUCAAACCAUGCAUGUGAUGUAUGAUGCAGAACUGCAGAUGAUCAACUAACCUGGCUCCAGACCACCCGCUGCACGGCUGGAUCGACCUUCUCGUGGACGAGCCUGCCGGUGAGGAGGCUGUAGAUCACAUUAAGCUGCAUUGCCCAGUAGUUAAGAGAUUUCCAUUAGGCUCAACCAGACCAGAAAGCGUCAGCCAAGUUAACCAGCAUGAUGACUCAGUACAGAUAAAUCAUGAAAGAAUGUCAAUAUAAGCACCGCAAUGGUCUACAGUAUGUGAUUGCUGAACAUAAUUGGUCAGAAAGCAACACAGUUGGGUCAGUAAAUUUCUUUUUCCCAUAAUCUGAACAGAUGCUGCAUAAGCCAUCACUCUACCUUUCUGAAGAUAAGCGGCGCGCCUGUGCUUCUCUGAACACAGAGGGGAUUAGUGCAAUUAUACAGCGACGAAGUAGUUGUAGACCAAUUAAGGAGAGAAUUCGAAGUUCUAGGGGAUAGUGAUUUCUGAGAUAAUGUGUGGUUUUCAGACCUGCAGGCAAACAGAGCAUCUAGAGACGUGACCGACGGCAUUCUGGUUGUACUCCUCGGUGAUCCUGAUCUCGGGCAGCUUGUCGAUGCACGCACUCGGCAUGCCGUUGGUUCCCUCGAUGUCGAAAAGAUCAGGGGCCUCCCUGAACUGCGAUGAGUCCACUGCGUUCAUCUGUAUGGCCAGAGAAACAUGCAUGAUAUUGUCAGAUAAGUGCAACAGCAUGUAGUCACUGAUUUCAAUUCAGACAGCAGCUUUGGAUCAAACCAUGCAUGUGAUGUAUGAUGCAGAAUUGCAGAUGAUCAACUAACCUGGCUCCAGACCACCCGGUGCACGGCUGGAUCGACCUUCUCGCGGACGAGCCUGCCGGUGAGGAGGCUGUAGAUCACAUUAAGCUGCAUUGCCCAGUAGUUAAGAGAUUUGCAUUAGGCUCAAACAGACCAGAAAGCUUCAGCCAAGUUAACCAAGGUUAUGAAGCAUCAGAAGGUAUGUUCAUUGUUCAGGUUGCAAUCUCAGUCAGUUGUGUACGCCCCCAAGUCACUUGCAAAUUAGUCCAUGUAAGUUAAGCAACACGCGCUGAUACAUUAACAGACAAAGGAAGUGCAGGCAAGCAAGCAAGCGUGUCAGUUGCAAAGAUGAUGGCCUGCUCCUAGCUACUUGCUGCCAACUAAGGACUGAAUCAAGCAUCUACUAUGUGCUUACCACGUACAAGAUGCUCCAGAUCCCGGACCGGCGGGAGCGCCAGAGGCGGAUGGAGGAGUCGACGACCUCGAUGGACACCAGCGCGCCGGUGAUGGCGCCGAUUCCAGUGCCACGGAAGAGGCCGCUCUCCGUGGCGAGGCCGAUCAGCCCGCCGGUGACGGCUCCCAGGAACAGCCCGGCUGCACAAGAACACACACACACAGAUGAGGGGGGGAGCGACGGCGCGGUGGUCGUCGUGGGGCGAGUCGGCGUGGACGGCGCGGUGGCCAGGGAGAACGCCGAGAGGCAAGGCGGGGGCGGUGGCGGGGGCGGGGGCGAGGGCUGGAGCUGGGCGGGCAGAGAGACGGCGGCCAGCCAGCAAGGUGGAGGUCAGCCGCGGCGCCGUGUGGGGUGGGGAAAGGGGACAAGGUGAGGGAGCCCGAUCCUCUAACAUGCUACAGUGUUCUUCUUGUGUAAAAAAGUGAAAUGAGCCAAGUCAAGGGAGCUUAUGAAUUGAAAUUGACUUUUUUUGAAAAAGGUGAAAUGAGUUUUUUUUAAUUAAAUUAAAAUGAGUCUUCUAAAAUUGAAAUUGAUAUUUUAAAAAUUGAAAUUGGUCUUUUCAAAGUUGAAAUGAGCAUUGUUCAUGGGCUAAGAGUGGAGGAAAGUCAGGUUACUGUAGCUUACCCGACUUUCCUCCGAAUGUUAGAGAAUCGAGGGGACUCAUCGGCGCUCGCUGAUCUCGACAGGGGAGCGCUAGAUCGAAGGGCAAGGGAUGGAUCGGCCCUCCUCCCGCAUUGGCUCGAAGAAGGCUGGCUCGUCCAGCUCGGUGAUAGUGAAGAUGGCGGAGGCGAUGGAGAAGUUGGACGUUACAGAGGAGGAGGCAACUCCUUUAUUGAUGGACGAUGUACGGAUCGGAGCAAAACAUAAUUGGCUGGUGGAAGGGAAGAUUUUGUACCGUAAUUUGUCCCGUAUAUAGACGAUCUCCGUGCCCUCUGCCCGUCUUGGGCCAUUGGAGGCGGACAGAGAUUGCUUCCGGUUUCUUGGCUAGAAUUUCUUGGGACGGGGUGAGUUGCCUCGGAUUUCUUGCGACGGUGGGAGGGGGAUUGCGUUUGUUGGUUGGGGCCGUUGCGUUUGUUGGUUGGGGCGGGAGGGGGGGUAUUUGAAGGGAGGAACAGGGGAGACGCCACAACAGGGGAGGCUCAGCAAGCCCUCUUUCCUUCAGAGGCGGCUGCGGUAGCGGUUGCGGUUGCCGCUGCGGGAAAUUCGAUCUCUAUCGGUCUCUGUCUCAAGUUAACUGAAGAAGAAAGUUCAGACGAGGAGCAGAGGAAUUGGGUGUCCCAACUAAACUGAACUGAAGUAGAAAAAAAAACCUGGUUCAGAGUUCAGAACUCAGAAGCUAAGGCACAAGUCUGAUUCAGAGCUCAAAUGAGUUGGAUGAAUAUCUGUACAGAGAAGAGAAGAUGCUAUGGCGCCAACGCGCUCGAGUCACUACUAUCAGAGAGGGGGAACAAAUCACCAUAUGUAUUUUCAACGAAAAGCCGCAUGUCGACAGAGGAAAAAUAAGAUCAGGGAAACGAAAAGAUGCAGAGGGGAACUUGGUUCAGGAAAAGAAGCAGAUUGAGGAAAUGGCAACAGAUUUUUUUUUUCAAGAAAUUAUGCGAAACUGAUGAUACUGUUGAACCUGAUGUUGCGGCUGCCGUUGCGGGACGGGGGAAGCAAACAACUCUGUCUCAAGCUAACUGAAGAAUUGAUUUCAGAUGAGGGACAGAGGAAUUGGGUGUCUCAACUUAACUGAAGAAGAGAUUUAAGAAGAGGGACAGAUGAAUUGGGUGUCUCAACUUAACUGAAGAAGAGAUUUCAGAUGAGGGACAGAGGAAUUGGGUGUCUCAACUUAACUGAACUGAAGAAUCAGGGUAAAUGUUAACAAUCCAGCUAUGAUUCAAAGGUUGCAAGCCAUUGAUGGAGGAAUUGGAAGCUAACUAAUGGAAUUCAUGGAGGGGAUAGGGGAGGAAGACGAGCAGUACAGGAACGGGAAAGCGGAGAAGACGACACCACGCCAAGCUGAGGCCGAAGCCCUUCCGUUUGUCCCCGUCUUCAGAUGCCUUUCUGUUCUAUUUGUACUCAUCUCAUGUAGUAGUUUGCUGGCAGGCCCGGGCCCAAGAGGCGCCCUUCUGUACGGCCCAGCUACAGAGAGUGAGGCCACUGACAUUCCCUCUUCCUUAAAUUUCGGCUUGCACUCAAGCCGACUCAAUGUGGAAACCAAAGGGAUCCCAUGGUACUUGGUGCUUCAUGACUUCGCCAAGGUGGCGGUGGCCGGUGGGUGCCGUAGUUGAGGCGGAACUUGGCGAGGUUGAGGUAGCAAACGACGCCGACUUGCUCAAGGAAGUAGUCGUCGCUGAUGUUCACUUGGUCACAGAAAGCAUUGAGGUAAUAGUGUUGGUUGACAGAGACGUUGUCAGAGCAUGGUUGAGGCAGUGGCCGUGAUAGUAGGUUGGAGCUACAACAUUCCUCCUUCCUAUUAUAUACUUCAGCUUGAGUGAAAAGUCCGAAGAAAUAGAGAAGGGCCCAGAUGCCUGGAUCCCCUGACAACUUGCCUUGACAAAACUCCACACUGCAGGAUCUCCAUAUGGCAACAUAAGCAAGGAACUGAAAUGCCUGUGGAACAACGAGGAACACCCAGAAGCACUUGACGGUCCAUACGCCAUCGGUAACAACAACAUAUGCAACAGGAAUCCAUACACUGUCACCUGGAACCCAAGUCAGCAUAUCUCAGCAGGAGAGCACUCGGCCAUGGAUUGCAGAUAUGUAUUGUCAGGAACAGAGCACGCAUAGCAGUAGUCAGCUUGGAUACUGAUAAUGAUAUUGAAACCAGAUAUCUUCCAUGAGCUCACUUCUGUGGAACAAAAUUCAGUGGUCUGUAGCAUAACCGAACAUGCAGUAAUAGGUCUGUCGUCAGUUAUCCCCCAAAUCAUCAGCCACAUGUAAUGUUGACCAGGAACAUGCCGCGACGAUGGAGACCAGGCUUUCAACUCAACUGAAGUCCAUGAACAACUGAGAGGUAUUUGGUACCAGCAUUUGUUUGCUGUCCAGGAUCCCACGGCAAUGCCAAGAAAGCAGCCAACAAAGACCUGUGACCAAUAAUGUCAAGUAAACAAUAGGUGUGGAUCACCUCGUACUCAGAGAUGAGGCUACACACUGAAGCAAUGGUGAUGCAGUAGCGUUGGUAAUCAGGCAUGUUGGCAUGUAUGUGCAUGUCAUGAAGAAUAAAAUGUGUUGGUGUUGCUUCGAACAAUCCUUGCCUCUUGGCAACAUCCGGGCAUGCUAAGUCAAACAGCCAUGCAAUUUCCACUUGGUGUUUUUCAGUAUACUGGAUCAUCCUGAAGAAAAAACAUGAAGAAUAAGCUCAUAAAUUCCCAGCAAUUGCGAAAUAAAUUCUGGGAAGCACAAGAAGAUAUACUUGGAAUUGGGGUACUGGCUUAAUAAAAUUGGAGUAGUGGCUUGUUGAAAUCCAGCCCGACUAAUCCUAAGUGGAAAUUCAUCUGCUGCUGCUGCUGCUGCUGCGUGGUGGGUGGCGCUCCCCUGCUUCCCGGCUUCUCGCUGGAGGUGAAUCGAUCCUGCAAAUAAUUGGUACUCGAGGAUCAACGGGGGGAGACAGGGAAGCAAAUCUUCAGUGCCGAGGGGGAAGAGCAGCAAACCGGGUGACCAUCUUGGUGGCUGGAGGCGCAGCUCCCGGUGGCGCGCCACCACGCCGGCAUUCAAGAUGAGGGGGGAGCGACGGCGCGGUGGUCGUCGUGGGGCGAGUCGGCGUGGACGGCGCGGUGGCCAGGGAGAGCGCGGAGAGGCAAGGCGGGGGCGGGGGCGGGGGCUGGAGCUGGGCGCGCAGAGAGACGGCGGCCAGCCAGCAAGGUGGAGGUCAGCCGCGGCGCCGUGUGGGUGGGGAAAGGGGACAAAGGUGAGGGAGCCCGAUCCUCUAACAUGCUACAAUGUUCUUCUUGUGUAAAAAAGUGAAGGGAAGUCAGGGAGCUUAUGAAUUGAAAUUGAGUUAUUUUGAAAAAGGUGAAAUUAAUUUUUUUUAAAUGAAUUAAAAUGAGUCUUCUCAAAUUGAAAUUGGUAUUUUAGAAAUUGAAAUUGGUCUUUUCAAAGUUGAAAUGAGCAUUGUUCAUGGGCUACGAGUGGAGGAAAGUCAGGUUACUGUAGCUUACCCAACUUUCCUUCGAAUGAUAGUGAAGAUGGCGGAGGCGAUGGAGAAGUUGGACGUUACAGAGGAGGAGGCAACUCCCUUAUUGAUGGACGAUGUACGGACCGGAGCAAAACAUAAUUGGCUGGUGGAAGGGAAGAUUUUGUACCGUAAUUUGUCCCGUAUAUAGACGAUCUCCGUGCCCUCUGCCCGUCUUGGGAGACCCUGAAGGUCUUGUUUUUCGUCCACUAGGAGAGAACAUGCCUGUCGCUGAAUUCGAAAUCCUGUGUGACAUGGACACGGUUUGGGAAGGACCGUCAUGGCACGGGAGCAAGCACGCGGUGAUCCUGGAGAAAUUUGAAGAAUGCAUGCCCCCAUCAUAAACUCAAAUUUGAUAAACUUCAGAUUUGGGCAAGAGUGAUUAUUCUUCCUUAUAAUAUGAGGAACGGCACUUGGGGUCUUUCAAUCGCCUAGCAAAUUGAUAAGGAAGCAAAAGUUGUGCCAAUUCAUCUGGUGGGUGGUUAGAGUCACAAUUGAUGUGUAAAAACCCUUGAGGAUAUGUAUUAUUUUUUAUUUGACACUGAGAAACGACAAGGAUUGGUAUGAUAUACAAUAUGAGUAACUUCCCCACUUCUGUUUUCGAUGUGGUCGUUUGGGACAUUCAGAUUUAGUAUGUCCAACAUCGGGUGCUAGAGAUGAUGAUGGAAAUCUUUUGUUCAAAAAAUGGUUUAAGAGGGCGGAUGAACGGAGGAAAGCGUGUUUUGGGGAGAAAUCUUCGGGCGACCAGCAGAGUUCAUGGCAUAGUAGACGAGAGGUGUCAAUUCGGAGGUGACGUCCGCUCCGAAGAAGAAUCAAUGAACAAGCGCAAGGGAGGACCUCAGCAGCUAAAAUUCUUCAACAUUUUUAAAAUAUAUGGUCAAUAUUUUUUCUGUACACAUUUAACAUUUUUCAAAUGUUUGAUCGAUAGUUUUCAAAUACUUACUCAUCAUUUUUUAAAUACUUGAUUAACAUUUUUAUAUACAUGAUCCAAUUAUUUCAUCAUUUUUUAAUAAUUGGUUAAUAUUUUUUUCUAUAAGCAUUUAACAUCUUUCAAAUACUUGCUCAACAUUUUUUUCAAAUCCUUAAUUAACAUUUAUAUAUAUAUGAUAAAAAAUUCAUCAUUUUUUAUACAUGGUGAAAUUUAUUUCUAUACACACUUAUCAUUUUUCAAAUACUUGUUCAACAUUUUUUCAAAUGGUUGAUUAAAAAAUUUAUAUGCAUGAUAAAAAAAUUCAUCUUUUUUUAAUACAUGGUCAAUAUUUUUUCUAUACACAUUAAACAUUUUCCAAAUGCAUGAUUCACAUUUUUUGAAAUGUUUUAUGUAAAGUAUUUUGUAAUAUAAAAUAUCUGGAAAUAUAAAUAAAGUAAAACAAAACAAAAAACCUAAAAAAACAACGAGAAUAUGGCAUGUGGCCUGGUAUAGACCCCAAGGCGAGUGUGUUAAGCUAAAUGUUGAUGCCUCCUUUGUAUCUGCUUUGGGAUCAGCGUUGUUGGGGAACGUAGUAAUUUCAAAAAAUUUCCUACGCACACAAGAUUAUGGUGAUGCAUAACAACGAGAGGGGAGAGUGUUGUCUAUGUACCCUCGUAGACCGAAACGGAAGCGUUGACACAACGUAGAGGAAGUAGUCGUACGUCUUUCCGAUCCGACCGAUCCAAGCACCGUUACUCCGGCACCUCCGAGUUCUUAGCACACGUACAGCUCGAUGACGCUCCCCGGGCUCCGAUCCAGCAAAGCUUCGGGGAUGAGUUCUAUCAGCACAACGGCGUGGUGACAAUGAUGAUGUUCUACCGACGCAGGGCUUCGCCUAAGCACUGCAACGAUAUGACCGAGGUGGAAUAUGGUGGAAGGGGGCACCGUACACGGCUAAGGAACGAUCACGAAGAUCAACUUGUGUGUUCUAGGGUGCCCCCUGCCUCCGUAUAUAAAGGAUCCAAGGGGGGUGCGGCCGGCCCUAGAGGAGGCGCGCAGGAGGAGUCCUACUCCUACCGGGAGUAGGACUCCCCUCCCUUUCCUUGUCCAAGUAGGAGAGGUGGNNNNNNNNNNNNNNNNNNNNNNNNNNNNNNNNNNNNNNNNNNNNNNNNNNNNNNNNNNNNNNNNNNNNNNNNNNNNNNNNNNNNNNNNNNNNNNNNNNNNNNNNNNNNNNNNNNNNNNNNNNNNNNNNNGCCGCCCCUCCCUCCUUGUCCAAUUCGGACUAGGGGGAGAGGGGGCGCGUGGCCUGCCCUGGCAGCCCCUUCCUCUUCUCCACUUUAGGCCCAUGAGGCCCAUUAACCCCCGGGGGGUUCCGGUAACCCCCCGGUGCUCCGGUUUUAUCCGAAACUUCUCCGGAACACUUCCGGUGUCCGAAUAUAGUCGUCCAAUAUAUCAAUCUUUAUGUCUCGACCAUUUCGAGACUCCUCGUCAUGUCCGUGAUCACAUCCGGGACUCUGAACUAACUUCGGUACAUCAAAAUGCAUAAACUCAUAAUAACUGUCAUCGUAGCGUUAAGCGUGCGGACCCUAUGGUUCGAGAACAAUGUAGACAUGACUGAGACAAAUCUCCGGUCAAUAACCAACAGCGGGACCUGGAUGCCCAUAUUGGCUCCUACAUAUUCUACGAAGAUCUUUAUCGGUCAGACCGCAUAACAACAUACGUUGUUCCCUUUGUCAUCGGUAUGUUACUUGCCCGAGAUUCGAUCGUCGGUAUCCAAUACCUAGUUGAAUCUCGUUACUGGCAAGUCUCUUUACUCGUUCUGUAAUGCAUCAUCUCGCAACUAACUCAUUAGUUGCAAUGCUUGCAAGGCUUAUGUGAUGUGCAUUACCGAGAGGGCCCAGAGAUACCUCUCCGACAAUCGGAGUGACAAAUCCUAAUCUCGAAAUACGCCAACCCAACAUGUACCUUUGGAGACACCUGUAGAGCACCUUUAUAAUCACCCAUUUACGUUGUGACGUUUGGUAGCACACAAAGUGUUCCUCCGGCAAACGGGAGUUGCAUAUUCUCAUAGUCAUAGGAACAUGUAUAAGUCAUGAAGAAAGCAAUAGCAACAUAAUAAACGAUCGGGUGCUAAGCUAAUGGAAUGGGUCAUGCCAAUCAGAUCAUUCACCUAAUAAUGUGAUCUCGUUAAUCAAAUAACAACUCUUUGUUUAUGGUUAGGAAACAUAACCAUCUUUGAUUUAACGAGCUAGUCAAGUAGAGACAUACUAGUGACACUCUGUUUGUCUAUGUAUUCACACAUGUAUUAUGUUUCCGGUUAAUACAAUUCUAGCAUGAAUAAUAAACAUUUAUCAUGAUAUAAGGAAAUAAAUAAUAACUUUAUUAUUGCCUCUAGGGCAUUUUUCCUUCAAGCGUGGGCAGGGGCAGUCGCCAGGGAUAGCACUGGUUGAGUUCUUUUAUUUGUAGGCGGCCACUUUCAUAUGUGUAUUGAUGUAGAGGAAGCUGAAGCAAACGCUCUGCUGUUGGGCCUCAAGUGUUUGCGAGAUAUAAACAAGGUUCAGGUACAGGUGGAAUCAGAUUGUGCUGCCGUCGUUGUGGUUGUGAAUGCAAAAGAAAGAAACAACAGUAAGUGGUGGGCUACUAAUGAAGAAGCAAAGACUCUAAUGCGGGAGUUCAGUUUGUGCAUGGUGAGUAGAAUUGAAAGAGAGUGCAACGUGGCGGCACAUGAGAUAGCAGCUAAUGCUAGAGCUCAUGGGACUCACUGGCGCUCGCUGAUCUCGACUGGGGCGCGUUGGAUCGAAGGGCAAGGGAUCGCUCGGUCCUCCUCUCGCAUUGUCACAAAGAACGCUAGCUUGUCCAGCUCAGCAGUAGCAAAGUUGGAGGAGGCAAUGGGGAAGCUGGACAUUACAGAGGAGGAGGCAACUCCCGUAUUGAUCUUCCGUUGAAAAACAGGUUUAAGGGCGCGAAUGAAUGGAGGAAAGCGAGUUUUUGGGGAAAAACAUCACGCAGCCAGCGGAGUUCACAACAGAAUAGGCGAGAGGCCAAGCCAGCGAGCCUCCAAAAUGGUGUCAAUUCAAAGGCGGCGUCCACUCAGAAGAAGAGUCAAUGAACAAGCGCAAGGGGGGACCUCGGCAGCUAAAAGUGUAUAGAAGGGUCGAAUUGCCACUUCAGACAUAUCCAGAGGGGGUGGUGGUGCUAACUUAGAGGGCGUCGACACCCAUGUAGCAGACCAUGUUGGGGCUCAGCACGAUGGGCAUGAAGUUCAAAGGUACCCAAAGAAGAAGAAACCAACUCUACCCUCAUCAAAAAAUUCGGCAGCAGCUGCAAUGCAGCCCUGUCAUCAAUAAUGAGUUGCUUAAGCGGAAUCGUCGGAUGUUUGGGAACUCCGCGGCAGUUCAUGAGCUUCAGAAAAUUGUGAAGCGGAAAGGCCUCACCCUUCUCUUCAUCAUGGAGACCAAGAUAAGGGAGAAAUUUGUGGAGAAUUUGAAAUUGUUUAUUGUUUUUUUGGAUGUUUUUCUGUUGAUAGCAAUGGGCCUAGUGGUGGGAUUGGCUUGUUUUGGUCCGAUGUUGUUUCAGUUGAGCUCUAGAAUUUCACAUGUUCCCACAUUGAUGUUGUAGUCAAGUAGGAGGUCGAUGGACUCCGAACUUGGUACUACACAGGGGUUUACAAAGAACUAAGGGUUGAAAAUAGACACCACUUGUUCGCGCUUCUUGCACACUCUAUUUGCACUCAAACAUGAAUCUUGACUUUGCAUGGGUGACUUUAAUGAGGCACAGACGUUGAGGAGCACUUAGGCGCAAAUUCUAGGUUGAAAGAGCAAAUGCGAGCCUUUAGAGAAGCUUUUAACAAUUUCUCCCCUCGGAGGCUCAGUUGGAAGGGCAUUCCCUUCACAUAGGAUAAUAGGCAACACGGAGAUGCUAAUGCAAGGGGUAGACUGGAUCAAGUUGUAGCAAAAUGUUUCCAUUCGUAGCAUUUCUCGAAUACUCCAAUCUUAAACACAUCAACUCUGUAGAAUCUGAUCAUUGCUUUAUUUUGGCAGAGCUAAAAACAAUUAGUGAAUGUAAGGCCCAACCCAGCUUGUUCUUUCUGUUAUGAAAAUGUCUAGCAGUCCCACGCGCAAUAUGAUACUUUUGUACAAAGUAUUUGGCAUGUGGGUGCUAGUCAGAAAGCCUUGCAGGGCAUCGUCGAGGCCUUGUUGUCAGUUCAAGAGAGGUUGGGCUCUUGAGGGGCACACAAGUUCAAUGACCUGUCGAAGAAGUAAAAAAAACUACAGGCAAGACUCAAACUGUUGGGAGUUGCCUCGGUGAGACGUGGACCAUCGAAGGAACAAACUGUUGUUGCGUCACAUAUGCUUGAAGCACUGAGGCGAGAGGAGGUUUUGUCUGAAGGAGUGUUUGCGUGUGUUCUGGCUGCAUGAGGGAGAUUGUAACACUAAAAAAUUUAGCCUCAAGCGUCCCAUAGAAAAGGAGUUAAUCAACUCACUAGAAGGGGAGAUCAUUUCAUUCUAUCAUGACUUGUAUCAGUCCCAAGGGUAAAUGCCAAUGAAUGAAUUAUACGUUGUUCCUCCAUUAGUUAUGGAAGCUAUGAAUGAAUUGCUGAACAAGGAUUUGGUAGCCGAGGAAGUGACAUGAGUGCUUUUGAUUAGGCCCCUUCGAAAGCCCAAAAGUGGAUGGUUUUAUGGUGGGCUUUUAUCAAUAGCACUUGGGUAUUCUUGGUUGUGAUAGGGUGGCUGUCGUUCUGUAUUUAUGAAUGGUGGAGAGCUACCUAUGCGACUCAAUGACACGACAAUUAUACUAACUAAGGUACGCAACCCAUAGAAGAUUUCUGAGUUUUGUCCAAUGGCAUCUAGUACUCCAUAAGAUAGGUGCCAAAACUAUUGUUAACCGGUUUGAGGUAUGUUGAAUGAAUUAUUGGAGAGGUAUAAAGAACUUCUGUACACGACUGUUUGAUAACUGGUAAAGUUCUCGUAGCAUAUGAGUGUAUUCAUACCCUUAAGAAGAAGAAGAAAAGCCAAGGUGUUUUAUGUGCUAUCAAAUUGGAUAUGCUUAAGGCAUAUGGCAAGGUCAAGUGAUUAUCUGGAGGCUAUCUUGCAUAAACUGAGAUUCACAUAAAGAUUCAUGAGGCUAAUUAUGAAGUGUACCAAUUCAAUACGGUUUAUUGUCAAUGUGAAUGGAGAGAUGUUGUCUUCUUUUACUCUGCCUCGGGGCCUAUGUUUGGGAGAUCCCAUGUCACCACAUAUUUUUCUCUUAUGUGCUCAAGGUCUUACUUCCCUGUUAAAUCAUUAUGGGGGAUCAUAUGUUGACAGAUUUUAGGUGAGUAUUCAUGCACCAUAGGUGAAUCACUUAUAAAUUGCGGAUUAUAGCUUGAUAUUCACUGUCGUAAAAAUCUAGAGUGCAAAUAGAUUGGAUGACAUUCUUCAAAUCCAUGCCAAUUGUUUGGGCCCAGAUGUUAAUCAUUCAAAUAGUUCACUUUUCUUUAUUACAAAUUUUGAGGAGCCCCUUCGAGUUUCUGUAAAAGGAACUCUGGGAAUUAAGGUGUAAGUGUUCCAUGCACGUUAUUUGGGAUUACCAAUGACGAUCGAAAAAAUUACAAGUGGAAUUUUUACCAUAUAUUAAAGGAAGUUCAUGGAAGAAAUCAAGGUUGCUCAUAAAGGAACCUAGCUUGUGUGGGGAGAGAAGUCCUAUUGAAAUCAGUCAUUUGGGUAAUCCCUAAGUACAACAUGAGUUGCUUCAACUUAACUAAAAAGGUAUGCAAGAGUAUUACUUCUUGUAUGGCCAAAUUGCUGGGUCAUUUAUCUAGACAAAAGAUCUCUUCAUUGGAUCUCAUGGGAGAAUCUAGCUACAGCAAAAUUUGUUGGUGGCAUGGGUUUUCUGGACUUUAAACAAUUUAACCUUGUGAUGCUUGGAAAUCAUGGAUGUCGGUUACUUACCAACCUGGGCUCUCUCUGCUCUAGGGUUCUCAAGGGCAAAAAUUUCUCGCACACGGAUUUCUUGUAAGCUACAGAUCCUCCAAGCUCUUCGAAAGGCUAUAGUGGUAGGACGAGUUGCUUUGGAUGUUGGGCUCAUAAUGCGUGUGGAUGAUGGCUCAACUAUCUCUGUUUGGACGGACAAUUCGAUUCCAAACACAACCAUGCUCAAGCCUAUGGGUAGAUUGGGAAAUGACCUGGUGGAACAAGACUCACACUUAAUUCAUACUCAUUCUGGAGACUUGGAUGUAAACUUGGUUCAUAGGAAUUUUUCUUGCCUGUUCUGGAUGCAAUACUUAAUAUCCCCUUGAGUGUAGUAGUAGGUUUGUACUUGUGUUUUAUUGAGUUAUUCCUUUGUUGUGAUUGUUCUUUGAGUUCAGUUCUUCACAAUUGAAUUGCAUUUAUCUUGAUCCAACGCCAUGUUAGAUUCCAUAUUCUGUCUCACUAUACUUAACAUGAUAUGUUUGUAUGUUCACAUGAUAUUCCUCUGAUUCUACUUACUUAUCCUCCUCACAUCUGUCCAAAUAGAUAUCUCUCAUUAGCUCGUUUUACAUUUUAAUCUAAGUCAAUUCCCUACUUGGUUCUAUAGAGAGUACUUAUUCCACUGUGUUGUGUCGAGAGAUUUUGUAAAUUUAAGUCUCCUAUCCAUCCCUAUGUAGUCGAUUUUCGAUCCUACACUCUCCAGACCACCAUAACUGAAUAUCCUCAUGGCCUCUCCAGGCCAUCACAUAUUUCAUAUCGCAUAUCUCAAGCAAUAUUCCCCUUAUUAUCAAAACAUGUUUUUCCUUCAUAUCGUCAAAGACCAAAAUAGUGUGACUUAUACCGGGUUGUGUCCAUGGCCGAGCAUAUGUGGCUACUGGAAUAUAUUUUACACAUUGUAGAGGUUGCAUACUUUACCCACACUAUGGAGUUUUCCUGGUUGAUUGUGUCGAUUUCUCAGGGCGGGCUAGCCUGAGUCCAAUAAAACUAUUCUACGAAGAUGACACUUCUACCUCAUCAUAAAUAUGCUCAUGGGCACACCAUGGGGGAGAACCACUACACCCUUGCACAACUAGGAAAAGGCUUAUAGGUGGCCUUUAAAUGUGUUGCGGGCUCGGCCAGGCACUCGACGCUGCUAGUUAGGAUAAGUAGCAGUCGUGGGUACCUAUCUGCCCGCCAGAGGAAUAUACGUAGUAGUGGCGGACAGGUGUUCGAACCCGCCACACGUAACCGCUUCUGGAUGUGCCCGCAUGAUGAACGCUAGCAGUGGCGGGCCGUAAUUUCCACCCACCACUGGUCUGCAAAGCAGCAGUGGCAGGCCGAUUGAUACGUCUCCAACGUGUCUAUAAUUUUUUAUUGUUUCAAUUUAUUAUAGUAUCAAUCAUGGAUAUUUUAUAUGCAAUUUAUAUCAUUUUUCAAGACUGACCUAUUAACCUAGCGCCCAGUGAAAGUUGUUGUUUUCUUUGCUUGUUUUUGGCUUUUCAGAAAAUUAUUAUCAAACAUAAUUUAAAUGGAGAAAAAAAAACUUUGGAUUAUUUUUUUCUGGACCAAAGGGACCCUAGAAGUUUCGGGAGAAGGCCAGAGGGGUCACUAUGGAGCGACAAGCUCGAGAGGCGGGCCUCAAGGGGGCGCCCCCCAGGCUUGUGGGCCCCUCGUGGCACCUCCUAACCUAAUUCUGCUUCUAUAAAUUCUCAAAUAUUCCUAAUACAUCAGAGAGCCACCUGAAACACUUUUUCCGCCGCCGUAAGUCUCUGUUCUUUCGCGAUCCCAUCUGGAGGCCUUCUCCGCUACUCUGCCAGAGGGGAAUCAAUCAUGGAGGCCUCUACACCAACCUUGUUGCCCUUCCGACGAUGUGUGAGUAGUUUACCACAAACCUGCGGGUCCAUAGCUUGUGGCCAGAUGGCUUCUGCUCUCUCUCUCUCUCUGAUCUUCAAUACAAUGUUCUCCUCAAUAUUCUUGGAGAUCUAUUCGAUGUAAUUAUUUUUUGUGGUGUGUUUGUUGGGAUCUGAUGAAUUGUGGGUUUAUGAUCAUAUUAUUCAUGAGAAAUAUUUGAGUCUUUUCUGAAUUCUUUUAUGCAUGGUUGUUAUAGCUUUGUAUUUCUCUCCGAUCUAUCUAUUUGGUUUGGCCAACUAGAUUGAUUUAUCUUGCAACGAGAGAGGUGCUUUGUGAUGGGUUCGAUCUUGAGGUGCUCUAUGCGAGUGACAGAGAGAGAAAAGGACACGUAUUUGUAUUGUUGUCAUUAAGGAUAAAACAAUGGGGUUAUUCAUAUUGCUUGGAUUUACUUUGGCUACAUCACGUUAUCUUGCUUAAGACAUUACUCUGUUUUUAUGACUUAAUACUCUAGAUGCAUGCUGGACAGCAGUCGAUGGGUGGAGUAAUAGUAGUAGAUACAGGCAGGAGUCAAUCUACUUGUCUCAGACGUGAUGCCUAUAUACACAAUCAUUGCCUUGAAUAUCAUUGUAACUAUGCACUUUUCGAUCAAUUGUCCAACAGUAAUUUGUUUACCCACCAUACGCUUUUUGUUCGAGUGAGAAGCCUCUAAUGAAAACUAUGCCCUUCGGGCCUACCUUUAUCAUAUACAAAAUCUAAAAAUACCUUACUGCAAUUUUAUUACCGUUAUUUUAUUUUGUGUUUUUAUUCUAUAUUUAUCUCCCACUACGAGAUUUGAUCCUUGCAAAUAAUCGCCGAGGGGAUUGACAACCCCCUUGAUCGCGUUGGGUGCAAAUAUUUGCUUUUGUGUGUACAGGUACUGUUAGCGAGGUUUUAUGUGGUUCUCCUACUGGAUUGUUAACCUUGGUUCUUAACUAAGGUAAAUACUUAUCUCUGAUGUACUAUUUCAUUCUCUCCUCUUCGAGAAAAUCACAACGCAGCUUACAAGUAGCACCGAUCAGAUGCCCGCCACAGAUAAAUGCUUGCAACCGAUGCCAAAAAAAUAUCCAGAAGUUAGUUGUGCCCGCCACACAUAUGUUAGCUGUGGUCUAUCCAAAUUCAACUCAAAUAGUUCCGCUCGCCACCCAAAAGUACCAGCGUUUGGUCUUCCGGCGUGCCCAUCACACUACAAGAACUCUAUGUGCACGCGCGCCCCCUCCUCCCCCACUUCACUCUCACUCAAUCUCCCCCAUCUCGCUCUUGUCGCCACUAUCGCCUCUUCCUCGCCGCCCGUUGCCGCCGUCGGCCUCGUCCUCCUCCUCGUCGUGCGGUGCCGCCGCCGGCCUCGUCCUCCUCCUCGUCGUGCGGUGCCGCCGUCGGCCUCGUCCUCCUCCUCAUCGUGCGGUGCCGCCUCGGCCUCGCCGUACUAAUUGCGGCCCUCUCCCUCUGCCCCGCCUUCCUCUUCCUCCACAUCGGCCGGUAAGCCCUCGCCGAUCCCGUCUCCCUUUCCGACCCUCCUCCUCGCCACCCGCAGCCGCGGCCGCCACACACAUGCGCGACUACGGCCGCCACCCACACCCACGGACGCGUCCGCACCCACAUUGGACUAGGGUUAGGGGUCAGGGUAGGCUGGGGCUAGGAUUUUUUCAUAGAUCGUAGAUCAUAUUUGUGUCCAUAGAGCGUAGUUGUUCUUAUAGUACAAAAAGUAAGUACUAGAGAUAGUUAUACUAGUUAUUAGAUAGUGUUUAUUGUAGAUGUAGAUUUUUUGGUUGUACCAAAUUAUGUACAAGUAAAAGUUUGUAGUAGUCAUUCAUGAUGCAGGUGUUCAUAAGGAGUGCCAACGUUUUGUGAAAUGUUGAUUAAGUUCCUUUCAUCAAACUUUUGGCACUCAAUAUGACGAAUUACUAGCAAAUGUCAUGCCGAUCUUUUUCGUACAAGACAUCGACUGUUGCCAUGCAUAGUUUUAUCUUGUUAUAUAGUUGCUUUCAAUUAAAUUGCGGUUUAUCUAAAUGUCAAGGUUUUUAAUGCGAAUUAGAUGGAGAAGCCAAGACGCGUCGUUCUGACUCCUACAGUUGUAGACUCCGUCUCGGGGGUGGCUCAUUACAUGGUGGUCGCGCUCUCCUAUGCGGAGAGCAAUCUACUAGCCAUCGAGAGUGUUGAAACAUACGCCGACAGAAAUGCAGCAUCUUACCAUCUUGCGCGAGCAGCCACUCAGAGAGCACGAGCAACCGUCGAGACUACACGAACACCCGUUGAAGCUGCGAAGACCGCCCUAGCCGAGAUCACGAAGAUGAUUGGAGACAAGGAUAGCUCUUGAUAGAUUUGAGCGUUUGCUUGUGAACUAGUUGUUGGAAAUAUGCUCUAGAGGCAAUAACAAAUAAGUUAUUAUUAUAUUUCCUUGUUCAUGAUAAUCGUUUAUUAUCCAUGCUAUAAUUGUAUGGAUAGGAAACUCAGAUACAUGUAUGGAUACAUAGACAACACCAUGUCCCUAGUAAGCCUCUAGUUGACUAGCUCGUUGAUCAAUAGAUGGUUACGGUUUACUGACCAUGGACAUUGGAUGUCGUUGAUAAUGGGAUCACAUCAUUAGGAGAAUCAUGUGAUGGACAAGACCCAAUCCUAAGCCUAGCACAAAGAUCGUGUAGUUCGUAUGCUAAAGCUUUUCUAAUGCCAAGUAUCAUUUCCUUAGACCAUGAGAUUGUGCAACUCCCGGAUACCGUAGGAAUGCUUUGGGUGUGCCAAACGUCACAACGUAACUGGGUGGCUAUAAAGGUACACUACGGGUAUCUCCGAAAGUGUGUGUUGGGUUGGCACGAAUCGAGACUGGGAUUUGUCACUCCGUGUGACGGAGAGGUAUCUCUGGGCCCACUCGGUAGGACAUCAUCAUAUGCGCAAUGUGAUCAAGGAGUUGAUCACGGGAUGAUGUGUUACAGAACGAGUAAAGAGACUUGCCGGUAACAAGAUUGAACAAGGUAUCAGAUACCGACAAUCGAAUCUCAGGCAAGUACAAUAUCGCUGGACAAAGGGAAUUGUAUACGGGAUUGACUGAAUCCUUGACAUCGUGGUUCAUCUGAUGAGAUCAUCGUGGAACAUGUGGGAGCCAACAUGGGUAUCCAGAUCCCGCUGUUGGUUAUUGACCAGAGAGAUGUCUCGGUCAUGUCUGCAUGAUUCCCGAACCCGUAGGGUCUACACACUUAAGGUUCGAUGACGCUAGGGUUAUAGGGAAAGUAUGUACGUGGUUACCGAAUGUUGUUCGGAGUCCCGGAUGAGAUCCCGGACGUUACGAGGAGUUCCGGAAUGGUCCGGAGGUAAAGACUGAUAUAUUGGACGAAGGGUUUUGGAGUCCGGGAGUGUUCCGGAGGUACCGGGUGAUGACCAGCAUGACCGAAAGGUGUUUCGGGAGCCCCGACAAGUGUUGGGGGGCUUCAUGGGCCAAGGGAAGGGGGAAAACCAGCCCACUAAGGGGCUGUGCGCCCCCUCACCUAUUCCCACGUGACCAGGGGGUUUGGGGCGCCCCAUCUAGGGUUCCCACCUCCUGGCUUGGGGGCCAAGUCACCCAAGGGGGAGAUCCCAUCUGCCCUGGCCGCCCCCCCUAGGGGAAACCCUAGGGCGCCUCCCCCUCCCCCUUGCCCCUAUAUAUAGUGGAGGUUUUGGGGCUGCCCAAGACACGAGAUGAACUCUCCCAAGGCGCAACCCUACCUCUCUCCCUCCUCGUCUCUCGUAGUGCUUGGCGAAGCCCUGCUAGAGUUCCGCGCUCCUCCACCACCACCACGCCGUCGUGCUGCUGCUGGACGGAGUCUUCCCCAACCUCUCCUUCUCCCCUUGCUGGAUCAAGGCAUGGGAGACGUCACCGGGCUUCAUGUGUGUUGAACACGGAGGUGCCGUUCGUUCGGCACUAGGAUCAUCGGUGAUUUGGAUCAUGGCGAGUACGACUCCAUCAACCCCGUUCACUUGAAUGCUUCCGCUUAGCGAUCUACAAGGGUAUGUAGAUGCACUCUCCUUCCCUCGUUGCUAGAUUACUCCAUAGAUUGAUCUUGGUGUUGCGUAGAAAAUUUUGAAUUUCUGUUACGAUCCCCAACAGUGGCAUCAUGAGCUAGGUCUAUGCAUAGUUUCUAUGCACGAGUAGAACACAAAGCAGUUGUGGGCGUCGAUAUUGUCAAUUUACUUGCCGUUACUAGUCUUAUCUUGAUUCGUCGGCAUUGUGGGAUGAAGCGGCCCGGACCAACCUUACACAUACGCUUACGUGAGACCAGUUCCACCGACUGACAUGCACUAGUUGCAUAAGGUGGCUGGCGGGUGUCUGUCUCUCCCACUUUAGUCGGAUCGGAUUCGAUGAACAGGGUCCUUAUGAAGGGUAAAUAGAAAUUGGCAAUUCACGUUGUGGUUUUGGCGUAGGUAAGAAACGUUCUUGCUAGCAACCUAUAGCAGCCACGUAAAAACUUGCAACAACAAUUAGAGGACGUCUAACUUGUUUUUGCAGCAAGUGUUUUGUGAUUUGAUAUGGCCAAAGGAUGUGAUGAAUGAUAUAUGUGAUGUAUGAUAUGAUCAUGUUCUUGUAAUAGGAAUCACGACUUGCAUGUCGUUGAAUAUGACAACCGGCAGGAGCCAUAGGAGUUGUCUUAAUUUAUUUAUGACCUGCAUGUCAACAUAAACGUCAUGUAAUUACUUUACUUUAUUGCUAACCGUUAGCCAUAGUAGUAGAAGUAAUAGUUGGCGAGACAACUUCACGAAGACACGAUGAUGGAGAUCAUGGUGUCAUGCCGGUGACGAUGAUGAUCAUGGAGCCCCGAAGAUGGAGAUCAAAAGGAGCAAAAUGAUAUUGGCCAUAUCAUGUCACUAUUUGAUUGCAUGUGAUGUUUAUCAUGUUUUACAUCUUAUUUGCUUAGAACGACGGUAGCUUAAAUAAGAUGAUCCCUCACUAAAAUUUCAAGAAAAGUGUUCUCCCUAACUAUGCACCGUUGCGAAGGUUCGUCAUUUCGAAGCACCACGUGAUGAUCGGGUGUGAUAGAUUCUUACGUUCGGAUACAACGGGUGUUGACGAGCCUAGCAUGUACAGACAUGGCCUCGGAACACAUGCGAAACACUUAGGUUGACUUGACGAGCCUAGCAUGUAUAGACAUGGCCUCGGAACACGGAGGACCGAAAGGUCGAACAUGAGUCGUAUAGAAGAUGCGAUCAACAUGAGAUGUUCACCGAUGAUGACUAGUCCGUCUCACGUGAUGAUCGGACACGGCCUAGUUGAUUCGGGUCAUGUAUCACUUAGAUGACUAGAGGGAUGUCUAUCUGAGUGGGAGUUCAUGAAAUAAUCAGAUGAACUCAAUUAUCAUGAACAUAGUCAAAAGGACUUUGCAAAUUAUGUCGUAGCUUACGCUUUAGUUCUACUGUUUUAGAUACGUUCCUAGAGAAAAUUUAGUUGAAAGUUGAUAGUAGCAAUUAUGCGGACUGGAUCCGUAAACUGAAGAUUGUCCUCAUUGCUGCGUAGAAGGAUUAUGUCCUUAAUGCACCGCUCAGUGAGCUGAACCUCAAGCGUCGGUUGUGGAUGUUGCGAACAUCUGACAUACACGUUUUGAUGACUACAUGAUAGUUCAGUGCGUAAUGCUAAAUGGUUUAGAAUUGAGGCACCAAAGACGUUUUUGAAACAUCGCAGAACAUAUGAGAUGUUCCAAGGACUGAAAUUGGGAUUUCAGGAUAGUGCCCACGUCAAGAGGUAUGAGACCUCUGACAAGUUUCCUAAGCCUGCAUACUAAGGAGAAAAGCUCAAUCGUUGAGCAUGUGCUCAGAUUGUAUGAGUGCUACAAUCGCUUAAAUCGAGUGGGAGUUAAUCUUCCAGAUGAGAUAGUGAUGGUUCUCCAAAGUCACUGUCACCAAGCUACUAGAGCUUCGUGAUGAACUAUAACAUAUCAGGGAUAGAUAUGAUCCUUGAGCUAUUCGCGACACCGCGAAAGUAGAAAUCAAAUAGGAGCAUCAAUUGUUGAUGGUUAGUAAAACCACUAGUUUCAAGAAGGGAAAGGGCAAGAAAGGGAUACUUCAUGAAACAACAAAUCAGUUGCUGCUCUAGUGAAGAAACCCAAAGUUGAACCCAAGCCCGAGACUAAGUGCUUCUGUAAUAAGGGGAACGGACACUGAAGCAGAACCACCCUAGAUACUUGGUAGAUGAGAAGGCUGGCAAGGUUGACAGAAGUAUGUAUUGGACAUACAUUAUAUCAAAUGUGUACUUUACUAGUACUCCCAGUAGCAGCAGGGUAUUAGAUACUGGUUCGGUUGCUAAGUGUUAGUAACUCGAAAUAAAAGGCUACAGAAUAAACGGAGACUAGCCAAAGGUGAGACGGCGAUAGGUGUUGGAAGAGUCUCCAAGGUUGAUGUGAUCAAACAUCGCACGCUCCGUCUACCAUCGGGAUUGGUGUUAAACCUAAAUAAUUGUUAUUUGGUGUUUGCGUUGAGCAUGGACAUGAUUAGAUUAUGUUCAUCGCAAUAUGGUUAUUCAUUUAAGGAGAAUAAUGGUUACUCUGUUUAUUUCAAUAAUACCUUCAAUGGUCUUGCACCUGAAAUAAAUGGUUUAUUGAAUCCCGAUCGUAGUGAUACACAUGUUCAUGCCAAAAGAUAUAAGAUAGUAAUGAUAUUACCACAUACUUGUGGCACUGCAAUUUUAGUCACAAUGGUAUAAAACGCAUGAAGAAGCUCCAUGUUGAUGGAUCUUUGGACUCACUUGAUUUUGAAUCACUUGAGACAUGCAAAUCAUACCACAUGAGCAAGAUGACUGAAAGGCCUCGUUUUCAGUAAGAUGGAACAAGAAAGCAACUUGUUGGAAGUAAUACAUCUUGAUGUGUGCAGUCCAAUGAGUGUUGAGACAUGUAGUGGAUAUCGUUAUGUUCUUACUUCACGGAUGAUUUGAGUAGAUGUUGAGUAUAUUUACUUGAUGAAUCACGAGUCUGAAUUAUUGAAAGGUUCAAGUAAUUUCAGGGUGAAGUUGAAAGAUCGUCGUGACAAGAGGAUAAAAUAUCUAUGAUAUGAUCAUAGAGAUGAAUAUCUGAAUUACGAGUUUUGCAUACAGUUAAGACAUUGUGGAAAUUGUUUCACAACUAAUACAGCCUGGAACACCAUAGUGUGAUGGUGUGUCCGAACAUCAUAAUUGCACCCUAUUGGAUAUGAUGCAUACCAUGAUGUCUCUUAUCGAAUUACCACGAUAGUUUAUGGGUUAGGCAUUAGAGACAACCACAUUCACUUUAAAUAGGGCACCACGUAAUUUCGAUGAGAUGACACCGUAUGAACUAUGGUUUAGAGAAACCUAAGCUGUCAUUUCUUAAAAGUUUGGGGCUGCAACGCUUAUGUGAAAAAGUUUCAGGCUGAUAAGCUCGAACCAAAAGCGGAUAAAUGCAUCUUCAUAGAGUACCCAAAAUAGUUGGGUAUACCUCCUGUCUCAGAUCCGAAAGCAAUAGGGAUUGUUUCUAGAAUCGGGUCCUUUCUCGAGGAAAAGUUUCUCUCGAAAGAAUUGAGUGGGAGGAAGAUAGAACUUGAUAAGGUUGUUGAACCUUUACUUCAACCAGAGAGUAGUGCAGCACAGGAAAAAUGUUUCUGUGGCCCCUGCCUCAGUUGAAGAGAAAGCUAAUGAUGAUGAUCAUGGAGCUUCAGAUCGAGUUACUAUCGAACCUCAUAGGUUGACAAGGGUGUGUACAACUUCUAAGUGGUAACCCUGCCUUAAAGGUCACGUUGUUGGACAACGAUGAACCUAUGAGCUAUGGAGAAGCGAUGGUGGGCCCGGAUUCCGACAAUUGGCUCGAGGCCAUAAAAUCCGAGAGAGGAUCCAUGUAUGAAAACAAAGUGUAAACUUUGGAAGAACUACUUGAUGGUCGUAAGGCUGUUAGGUACAUGUGGAUUUUAAGAAGAAGACUGACGUGGACGGUAAUGUCACCGUUUAUGAAGCUCGACUUGUGGCGAAGAGUUUUUCACAAGUUCAAGUAGUUGACUACGAUGAGAUUUUCUCACCCGUAGCGAUGCUUAAGUCCGUCGGAAUCAUGUUAGCAUAAGCUGCAUUUAUGAAAUCUGGCAGAUGGAUCUCAAAACAAGUUUCCUUACCAUUUUUCGUAAGGAAAGGUUGUAUGUGAUACAAUCAGAAAGGUUUUGUCUAUCCUAAGGAUGCUAAAAGGUAUGCUAGCUCCAACGAUACUUCCAUGGACUAGAGCAAGCAUCUCGGAGUCGGAAUAUACACUUUGAUGGAGUAAUUAAAGUUUAUGGGUUUAUACAAAGUUCGUUAGAAACUUGUAUUUACAAUAAAGUGAGUGGGAGCACUACGACAUUUCUGAUAAGUAUAUGUGGAUGACAUAUUGUUGAUCCGAAAUGAUGUAGAAUUUCUGGAAAGCAUAUAGGGUUAUUUGAAAGGUGUUUUUCAAUGGAAAACCUGGAUUAAGCUACUUGAACAUUGAACAUCAAGAUCUGUAAGGAUACACUACAAGAAAUAUGUUAACUUAUGACCUUAUGUCAGUGACCCUCGAAGAAUUGGUCAUAAAUUUAUGACCAUUUUAGACGAAUUGGUCAAAAGCUGUUCAGGGGGCUCCAAACCCUAAACCAUUGCGACCAUUUUGGUCAAAAAGGUCGUAAUUUCCUUACACGAAAUGGUCACAAAGCAAACAGUGCUAGUCCGCUGCCUUAUUUCUAGUUGUUAAUGACCAAUAUAGAUGGUCAUAGCCUUGUAGAUUGUGGUGGGUUGUGAUGACUAGGCGCCAUCUCAUCAGUUUUGCCUAUGUGUCAUGUCCAUAUGGCAGUUUUUGCCCUAGGUUGUGAAGCAACCUAUAUUUCUAUCAUUCCCAAAAUUCCCAAAAAAAUCUCAUAAAUUCUUUGGGGCAUAUCUUCAUCAAAUAUGUUAAAAUCCUUCCUUGCCUAGUUCAAAACUAAUUCAACAAUAUUCAUUUUCCUAUUCUGUUCACAACAACACUUUAUGAAGGAAGUGCUAUUUAUAUAUUCUUGAUUGCCCUCGGAAUUUUUGGGCACUCUUUCCUAUCCAAAUUAUUACCGCAUGACAAAAUUCAGCUCCAUUUGCCUAGCAAAUCUUCCUCGGCAAAUUUCCAAAGUUUUUGUCCACCUAGAAGCAUUGUGAAGGAAGUACCCUUUUUAUAUCUCUAAAUGACAUGAAAUUUAUACAGUUCCUUCAUAUGCCCAAAUUAUCAACCUCCUCCAAAUUGCAGCUCAGUCAAAUCAUCUAUGUGAGCCCAGGUUCAAUUUAUAUUUUAUGGCCAAAUUGGCAUGUUGCAAAGCAAGUGUUAUAUAGACCCCUCCUAUUACCGUCAAACUUUUCGGGCACUCUUACAUACCCAAAUCAUUGCCACAUGAUAAUAUUCAGCUCAAUUUUCCUAGUAAAUCUUUCUCGGGAAAUUUCCAAAGUUUCUACCUCGAGAGAAGCUUUGUGAAGUAAGUACUAGCUAGGCUUACCCAAAUGAUCUGAAAAUUUACCAGCGCAUGACCAUACGUAAGUAACUUACCUACACCAAUUUUGAGAUCAUUUCAUUCAUCCAAUCUCUCUCACUAGUUUUCCCAAGUUUCUGUCCAUAGAAGAGCAUUGUGAAGGAAGUACUUCUUUGGCAUGUCCAAAUGGUAUCAAUUUUCUACAAUGCUUUCCUAUGCCCAAAUAACCAUCCUCCACAAAAUUUCAGCUCACUCCAUUCAUUAUUUUGAGCCCAGCUUCAACAUUCAUAUUUUUGUCCAGCGUGGUACUUUGCAAAGCAAGUACCACCUAGGAUCCUCCUUUUGAGCUAAAAAUUUGUGAAGACAUUCUCCUUAGUACAUGAUCAUCCUCAGCCAAAACUCACACCCAUUGGCCAUGUGCAUUUCCCGUACCGCUAAUCAAACACUUGGCUGCUAAUUCAUGUUUGAGCAUCGAUCGGUCUCCUCGUGAGAAUCUUAUGUUGUAAUUUUCUUCCUAGCACCAACCUGGGGAGUGCCUAACCCACUAGACAUGCCUAGGCCGCCCAGAACACAUGACAACAUUACGGUGACGCGGUGACCACGCGACGGGCAUGCGAGUUUACGCGCUCUAGAGUUGGGCCCCUCGGCCACCGCCCAAACCUCGACGUAUCGCCAACAAACCAUGUAUUUAUGAUUAAGUAGGUCCUUAUGUAACUAGAAAUGAUUUUUGGAAAAAAUAAAUAGCAAACUAUGAGGCAGCUACAGUUCAAAUUUGCCCCGCUUCCAACUGAAUCGGCGGAAAUUUGUCUUUUUCACGAGAGGUGGAUCAAAACAAUUUACACCCAACCAUUUUGUCAAUUGUGAAUUAAAUAUGGCCUAGUAUUUUAUAAAAAUGAUUUGGUCCAAUUUUGCAACAAUUAUUUGGUAGUUCCUUCACAAAAAAACCUCCGUUCGGGCACUCGGAAAAUGGAAAAUGUAUUUUCCGUGCAAAGAAAAUGAAAACUCCCUUAGGCAACAUUGUUUGGAAUUCCAAUAUGCACCCUUGUGCACAAUAUGAGAUCAUUUGAAUAAACUAUGCCAAGAAUGUGGCCAUAAGAUUGAUUAUUUGGCUUGAAAGCCAUUGAUCUCCACACGUGAUAGCUCGUUUCUGAGAACACUUUUUUAAAAUAAUUACCGUAUUACAAGUUUAUUAUUUUUCUAGGAACUUGGCCACAUAUAAUGACACAAUGCGAAGGUUUCCCAAUUUUUUGAUUUUUUUUUGAAUUUUUUAUGCCCGUUUCAAAAUGCGGUCAAAACGGCGAGAAUGACCGUUCCUAGCUAGUGGUUGAAUCUUGGAAUUUUUUUUGGUGUUUCUCUAAUUAAAUAGAUGCUUAUGUACCUAGAAAUGAUUUUUGGAAAAAAUAAAGAGCAAACUAUGAGGCAGCUACAGUUUAAAUUUGACUCGCUUCCAACUGAAUCGGCGGGAAUUUGUCUUUUUCACCAGAGGUGGAUAAAAACUUUUUACACCCAACCAUUUGGUCAAUUGUGCAUUAAAUAUGGCCUAGUAUUUUAUAAAAAUGAUUUGGUCCAAUUUUGCAAUAAUUAUUUGGGAGGUCCUUCACAAAAAAACCUCCUUUUGGGCACUCAAAAAAUGGAAAAUGGUUCUUUCGUCCAAAGAAAAAGAAACUUCCUUAGGCAACAUUGUUUGUCAUUCCAAUAUGCACCCUUGUGCACAAUAUGAGAUCAUUUGAACAAACUAUGCCAUGAAUGUGGCCAUAAGAUUGAUCAUUUGACUCGAAAGCCAUGAAUCCUCACGCAUGAUAGCUCAUUUCUGAGAACACUUUUUUAAAAUAAUUGCCGAAUUGCAAGUUUAUUAUUUUUCCUGGGAACUUGGCCACAUAUAAUGACACAAUGCGAAGGUUUACAAAUUUUUUGAUUUUUUUUGAAUUUUUUAUGCCCGUUUCAAAAUGCGGUCAAAACGGCGGGAAUGACCGUUCCUUACUAGUGGUUGAAUCUUGGAAUUUUUUUGGUGUUUCUCUGAUUAAAUAGAUACUUAUGUACCUAGAAAUGAUUUUUGGAAAAAAUAAAGAGCAAACUAUAAGGUAGCUACAGUUCAAAUUUGACCCGCUUCCAGCUGAAUCGGCGGGAAUUUGUCUUUUUCAUGAGAGGUGGAUCAAAACUUUUUACACCCAACCAUUUGGUCAAAUGUGCAUUAAAUAUGGACUAGUAUUUUAGAAAAAUGAUUUGGUACAAUUUUGCAAGAAACACAUGGUAGGUCCUUCACAAAAAAACACAUUUUGGUCACUCAGAAAAUGAAAAAUGGUUCUUUUGAGCAAAGAAAAUGAAAACCUCCCAAAUCAACAUUGUUUGUCAUGCCUAAAUACACACAUGUACAAAAUAUUGGUUUAGUUGAAAUAACUAUAAGAGGUUAAAUGUUUGCCUGAAUAAGAGGGUACAAACUAUAAGAGAAAAAACAAAAAAUGCUUAAUUCUGAUUGGUGGAACUAGCUGUGGCAUGGAUCAGUGACAUGGCAAACAUCUGUCCAUCCAUCCAUACAUCCAUCCGUCCGUCCAUCCACCCCUCCGCUCUCUCAGCUAACCCUAGCGCUCGCAGAUCCCUCCCCUCGCCGCCACCCUCCCCUCCCCUCGCAGAUCCAUCCUUCCCCUCCCUCCUUUCCCUUCGGCAAGAUCGCCGUGCUUUACUCCUUCCUCCUUCCCCUCCGGCAAGAUCCCACAUCCAUCGAUCCAUCCUCAACCGGAACCCCUCUCCCGAUGCCAGAUCCAAUCCUCCUCCCUCCCUCCUCGCCCCGGCUCCCUGCUCCCCUCCCCUUCCAGAUCGCCGCCACCACCUCCCUCCUCCUCCCUCGCCCCGGUUCCCUGCUCCGCCGAGGCCGCCGCCGGGAGAUCCGACUUCGCCGACGGGAAUGGGGCCGGAUCCGCCACGCCCGAGCGCUCCAUCCUCGUCGAUAGGGAUGACUACAUCCUGGCCUCGGCGCUUCCGGCAGCGGCAGCUCAUCUCCUUCAUCGGGCAGCAUAACUUCAACCACACCGUGGAUGUGUAAGCACGCAGUCGUGUCUCCCCCUCCCCCCUUCAAACCUGCCUCUGCGAAUGCAUCUCUUGAUCCGGGCAACGCACGCGCGCGCGCAGGUUGGUGACCCAGACGGACGUGUUCCUGUGCCUGAAGCACCUGGCCGAGCUGGUGGACGUGGGCUCCUGGGACAAGGCCAUCGACUACCUCUCCCGCUUCCUGCCCUCCGACCGCCCGCUGGGCGUCCACGGCCGCGCCCUCUUCCACUACCUCCGCGUGCACAAGGCCAUCGACGACGUGCUCACCGGAGCCCCGGAGGCGCGCUCCGUCACCAUCGCCCUCGACCAGUGCAUCAUCCGCCGCCCCACCAAGAGCCAUGCCGUCACCAGGCUCCGCGCCAUCUUGUCUCCGAUCGACCCGGGGCUCGUCGAAUCCUCCUCCCCCACUGCCUCAAGGUACGGCGAUUCCUUCCCCUCUCCUCCCUGUAUCGUCUAGAUCCGCGUUUCCGUGGUGCUCUGUGAUAGUUGGGCGUCUAGUAUUGUGGAAUUUGGCUCCGAUCUGUGGUUAGAUCGGUGAAGAUUUGGCGAGUUCGUAAGGAUUUCGCGGGUACUAAUUUGUAAUUAAUGGGUGGAUGUGCUCGUGCACAGGAUGGAUGGUCGAAAUCUAUGCAUGUUUUAUGUACUAGUCCGUCACUUCCUGCUCAUAGAUUCCCCCAAGUAGCUUGUGUGCCAUGUAAAAAAAUUCUAUCUAGACGUGAUCUUUCUAAUAGGCUUAGGAUUGUAGAUUGGUUUUAACCGGAAGAUAGGUUUCUUUUCUCAGAUGAUAAGCAUGGCCCCCAGUUAUGUGGGGAUCCGUGAGAUAAUUGAUGAUUUAGAUGUGCCAGAACCUAUUUGCUCGCUAGUAUCUCUUUGAUGAAGAAAAUAUGCUCCUGCCGUUUGUUGAGUCUCUGGAUUGAUGUAUAAGCCUAUCUAUUUUCGUGUAGAUAUUGUGUUUAUUUUGUAAUUUGUACUGAAGGGUUAGGCCUACCGUCUUCCAGGCGAAUUCCUGAUGCCGCAUGGUUUCAUCGGUUAAUCUAUGCAUGUUUUAUCUAUUAUAGCUAGUCUGUUCUGGUUUGAUAGCUCUUUAUGAUCCAAUUCAAUAGUAGCUUGUCUGUGAUUAUCUUCUUCUCAGCACGCGUAUGCUGCCUGAUCUGUCGCUCUUGAUCAGAUUUCUGUUGUACCAUUGAAAUAGCAAAUACACGUAUGUUAGUGUCAUAUGUGCUUGAUUUAUUACCACGAAGCUAGGUUUCUCUUAGCUAAUACAAGCAUUUCAGGCAGCUAUGUGGAAUCAGAAUCCCUAGAUCAAUGAAGUACUGCUGCAUAUCAACAAGAAGUACGUAGGGCUAUUUGACCGACUCACUUACUAGCCGUAGUAGCCAGUGCUUAGCUCUGUAUGGUGGUCGUUGCUUCGUUGAAUUGCUUGGUGUUGCUGUAGCCGUAGUAGCCAGUGCUACUAUUUCCACAAUCGAUGCUUACUGAAAGAUCAUGACUAGUACUGUGACAUAUGCUCGAUGACUAAAAAUAUGUUCAUUUAUAAGAUUUUUUCAGUAAAGCGGAACUUCUUAAAUAUUGCAUGCUGAAGUAAACUUAAAUGAAAUGUGCAGCGCAGUACAUUACCAGAAGCAGACUGGCCAUGGACUCAAUCAUUCUUUGUGAUUACAGUUUGACUGUAUCUCCAGCAUUGACAAAUACCAUUGCUUGUUCAAAUUUAUACUGGAGUUGCUUGUUCAAAUACCAUCUAUGUUCUUCUGAUGGUUCUCACUCUGUUUGGUAACAGACUCUGCUUUAGGAAAGUCUCACAGUACAGUACUACUAGUAGAUAAGAUACUCCUUAAACUUUGGAUCAAGUAAACUGUCUCAUAUAUUUUAUGCUCCUCAAACUUCACAGUACAAUACUACAUUGUUAUGCUCCUCAAACUUCACAGUACAACACUACAUUGUUAUGCUCCUGUUAUCUCAACUCUUAUAGUAUGAUGAAUCAAGUAAACUAAAAGCACCACCCUGUUCUGUCUGUGCAGACUGACCUCCGCUUCCAGAGCCAUGCGGUGCUGGCCCUUCAGGAGGCUGCAGAGGCCUACCUGGUGGGUCUCUUCGAGGAUCCGUGGCGAGAGGGCUUAAGGUGCUUGCUUUGCCUGUGGGAAUGGUGUCCUGAGACGAGUGGAGGAAGCGGUGUCCGAGGCCAGGGAGCUUUCCUCUCCAGGUCCGUCUCCCGAAUCAUGGUGCAAUUUCUAGCACUGAUCAGUGCCCCGCGAUUGAAGCUAGCUGUUUUACUGCCUUGUGCCAUUGAGCAACUUGUGCUUGGUUUCAGUUGCCAUGAAAAAGAAAACCUUGCUUGCAUUUUAUCAAUGCUGAUUCAUUAGUCAUAUUUUGUGUCUAUUAAGUCACGUAAAAAUCACAUAACUUUAUCAGUGCCUAACAUUAUAUUUAAGCUAUACUUUGUUGUAAGUUCUUGCUUAUAUUAGUGUCAUUCAUUUCUGUUCUAAUUAAUGUGGAACCGAGAAUGAACAUUUUUCUCUCUUUUUAGACUGCUAGAUUGUACAAGUUGAACAAUCUGCUCUAGUUUAAACAAGUUGGGAUCCAUCAAUACAAUAGGACUUAGUUUACGUUUCAUCUUGCUUGUAAUCAAUAUCCUCACUUCUAAUUUACCUCAAGAUUACCGUUUACCGAAAGUUUCAAAUUAGAAGAAGUUUCAAAUUCUUAUGUUGGUUUAUGUUCUCUUUGUAGGUUAUGAGAUGUGCUGCUAGAGACAUGCCGUUAGCAAACUGGAAGUGAUGCAACCAAAUCUAAUCGGAAGCAUGGCCUUCUUGUAGGUUUGCACAUAAGUGGAACUUGUAGUGUAUAAGUAGUCGCUGGAGCUGUGAUGGUGAUCUUUCUUUUGACUGGCUGUCGUUUGUUAUAGAUGACAAUCUUUUAGUUGCUGCUUCAAAUGAUGUAACUGCAAGAAAUGAUGUAUGAUUGUACAGUGAAACAAAUGUUGCUUUGAUAGCAAAAUUGAAAAAAACUGAAUUGUUUCUCCAUUGUCCAGUCCUUUGAAUUAGUGGGCUAAAAAUAUUGAUGGGCUAGAAGAGGCCUUAGCCCAAACAAUAUUGGACAAAAAAAUGAAAGGAAAAACAUCUUAAAAAAUUUAAAAAAUUAAAUGGACCGCAGAAAGGCCGAGGCCCAGAAAAAUGGAAGAAGCUCAGAAAACAAAAAAGGCCAAAUUGUUGGGCCAGGCCCAUGUACUUAGCGAAAAUUAACAAUAUAUAUAUAUAUAUAUAUAUAUAUAUAUAUAUAUAUAUAUAUUAAAAAGGCUGAAUUAAUGAGCUCGGCCCAUCUAAAGCACCGAAAUGGACCGGGCCGAUUCUAAUUUUUGACUUUUUUAAUUGGUCGCAAUUUUGCCACGUCGGAUCCGACAUGGCCUGGGGAGAGAGCUAGCGACCAAAACAGAAGGUCAUAGGAUCAACGACCUUUUGUUAAAGGUCGCUAUAGUCAGUUUACGACGCCCAGCUUUUGACCUUAUGUUUUUGGUCACAAAAAGGUCAUAAAUGGAAAUUUGUGACCAUUCAGUGACCAAUAGUGGUGGUCAUAAGUUGACAUAUUUCUUGUAGUGAUAGAUCAAAAACGCUUAAUGGUACUUUCAAAUGAGCACAUACCUUGACAUGAUCUUGAAGGUGUUGAAGAUGGAUCAGCCAAAGAAGGAGUUCUUGCCUGAGUUGUAAGGUAUGAAGUUAAGACUUAAAGCUCGACCACGGCAGAAGAAAGAGGAAGGACGAAGGUCAUCCCCUAUGCUUUUGUCAUAGGCUCUAUACGGUAUGCCAUGUUGAGUACCACACCUGAUGUGUGCCUUGCCACAUGUCUGGCAAGAGGGUACAAAGGUGAUCUAGGAGUAGAUCACCAUAUAGCGGUCAAAAUUAUCCUUAGAGAAAUAAGGAUAUGUUUCUCGGUUAUGGAGGUGAUAAAGAGUUCGACGUAAAGAGUUACGUCGAUGCAAGCUUAACACCUAUCUGGAUAGCUCUGAGUAGAGAUACCGGAUACGUAUAAUGGAGCAACAAUUUAGAAUAGCUCCAAGUAGAACAGUUAUUUGAAAUGGCUCCAAAUAUAGUGUAGAGAUUUGCGAAGUUCAUACGGAUCUGAAUGUUGCAGACCCGUUGACUAAAACCUCUCUCACAAGCAACAUGAUCAAACCCAGAACUCAUUGAGUGCUAAUCACAUAGUGAUGUGAACUAGAUUAUUGACUCUAGUAAACUCUUUGGAUGUUGGUCACAUGGCGAUGUGACCCGUGAGUGUUAAUCACAUGGCGAUGUGAACUAGAUUAUUGACUCUAGUGCAAGUGGGAGAUUGUUGGAAAUAUGCUCUAGAGGCAAUAACAAAUAAGUUAUUAUUAUAUUUCCUUGUUCAUGAUAAUCGUUUAUUAUCCAUGCUAUAAUUGUAUGGAUAGGAAACUCAGAUACAUGUGUGGAUACAUAGACAACACCAUGUCCCUAGUAAGCCUCUAGUUGACUAGCUCGUUGAUCAAUAGAUGGUUACGGUUUACUGACCAUGGACAUUGGAUGUCGUUGAUAAUGGGAUCACAUCAUUAGGAGAAUCAUGUGAUGGACAAGACCCAAUCCUAAGCCUAGCACAAAGAUCGUGUAGUUCGUAUGCUAAAGCUUUUCUAAUGCCAAGUAUCAUUUCCUUAGACCAUGAGAUUGUGCAACUCCCGGAUACCAUAGGAAUGCUUUGGGUGUGCCAAACGUCACAAUGUAACUGGGUGGCUAUAAAGGUACACUACGGGUAUCUUCGAAAGUGUCUGUUGGGUUGGCACGAAUCGAGACUGGGAUUUGUCACUCCGUGUGACGGAGAGGUAUCUCUGGGCCCACUCGGUAGGACAUCAUCAUAUGCGUAAUGUGACCAAGGAGUUGAUCACGGGAUGAUCUGUUACGGAACGAGUAAAGAGACUUGCCGGUAACAAGAUUGAACAAGGUAUCGGAUACCGACGAUCGAAUCUCGGGCAAGUACAAUACCGCUGGACAAAGGGAAUUGUAUACGGGAUUGACUGAAUCCUUGAUGUCGUGGUUCAUCCGAUGAGAUCAUCGUGGAACAUGUGGGAGCUAACAUGGGUAUCCAGAUCCCGCUGUUGGUUAUUGACCAGAGAGAUGUCUCGGUCAUGUCUGCAUGAUUCCCGAACCCGUAGGGUCUACACACUUAAGGUUCGAUGACGCUAGGGUUAUAGGGAAAGUAUGUACGCGGUUACCGAAUGUUGUUCGGAGUCCAGGAUGAGAUCCCGGACGUUACGAGGAGUUCCGAAAUGGUCCAGAGGUAAAGAUUGAUAUAUUGGACAAAGGGUUUUGGAGCCCGGGAGUGUUUCGGAGGUACCGGGUGAUGACCAGCAUGACCGAAAGGUGUUUUGGGAGCCCCGGCAAGUGUUGGGGGGCUUCAUGGGCUAAGGGAAGGGGACAAACCAGCCCACUAAGGGGCUGUGCGCCCCCUCACCUAUUCCCACGUGACCAGGGGGUUUGGGGCGCCCCAUCUAGGGUUCCCACCUCCUGGCUUGGGGGCCAAGUCACCCAAGGGUUAGAUCCCAUCUGCCCUGGCCGCCGCCCCCCCUAGGGGAAACCCUAGGGCGCCUCCCCCUCCCCCUUGCCCCUAUAUAUAGUGGAGGUUUUGGGGCUGCCCAAGACACGAGAUGAACUCUCCCAAGGCGCAACCCUACCUCUCUCCCUCCUCGUCUCUCGUAGUGCUUGGCUAAGCCCUGCUAGAGUUCCGCGCUCCUCCACCACCACCACGCCGUCGUGCUGCUGCUGGACGGAGUCUUCCCCAACCUCUCCUUCUCCCCUUGCUAGAUCAAGGCGUGGGAGACGUCAUCGGGCUGCAUGUGUGUUGAACACGGAGGUGCCGUCCGUUCGGCACUAGGAUCAUCGGUGAUUUGGAUCAUGGCGAGUACGACUCCAUCAACCCCGUUCACUUGAACGCUUCCGCUUAGCGAUCUACAAGGGUAUGUAGAUGCACUCUCCUUCCCUCGUUGCUAGAUUACUCCAUAGAUUGAUCUUGGUGUUGCAUAGAAAAUUUUGAAUUUCUGCUACGAUCCCCAACACUAGUGUUGCGCCACCUUUAUGUGAUCUAUAUGAUCAAUGUGUGUGAACUUAAUUUCAUGUUGCUAUGACAUAGCUGAACUAGUGUUGCGCCGGGCCCGUCAUUCAGUGGCGGGCACGGCAAAUGACCCGCCAUAGCUACCAAAUCCAGCAAUGGCGAGCAGCUUGACAUGCCCGCCACUGCAGAGUCUCUAACAGUAGUGGGCAUGCGCCCGCCACUCAUGCCAUUAUAGCAGUGGCGGGAGGUCAGUGGCGGCGCCCUUGGAAGACUCGCCUGCCACUACUGGCUUUUCUCGCCCGCCACUGUUAGGCAUUCCUGCAGUAGUGUUGCCACUUCAAUGGCACUACCAUAUCCGCGGUCUAUCCCCAUUGAGAUUCAAUAAGUGACUAGUCGAUUUAUACAUCAUUCCAAGCUCCCACAAGUUAGAGGCCGCCUACGUGGACAGGGUAGUACACCAUCUGACUUACGAGUAGGAUGAUGACAAUAAAAGGGCACACUCACAUAAUAGGCUAGGGCCUUCUCGGGAUAAGGCAAGUGUGGUUGCAUAUUAUUUAGUUCGGCUUAGUGAUACCAUGAGUCGAUCUCAUCGACGAUGGAGGAUGUUUGUUAGUUCAAGUUGAAGGAAAUAUGCCCUAGAGGCAAUAAUAAAGUUGUUAUUUAUUUCCUUAUAUCAUGAUAAAUGUUUAUUAUUCAUGCUAGAAUUGUAUUAACCGGAAACAUAAUACAUGUGUGAAUACGUAGACAAACUUAGUGUCACUAGUAUGCCUCUACUUGACUAGCUCGUUAAUCAAAGAUGGUUAUGUUUCCUAACCAUGAACAAAGUGUUGUUAUUUGAUUAACCAGGUCACAUCAUUAGUUGAAUGAUCUGAUUGACAUGACCCAUUCCAUUAGCUUAGCACCCGAUCGUUUAGUAUGUUGCUAUUGCUUUCUUCAUAACUUAUACAUGUUCCUAUAACUAUGAGAUUAUGCAACUCCCGUUUACCGGAGGAACACUUUGGGUACUACCAAACGUCACAACGUAACUGGGUGAUUAUAAAGGAGUACUACAGGUGUCUCCAAAGGUACAUGUUGGGUUGGCGUAUUUCGAGAUUAGGAUUUGUCACUCCGAUUGUCGGAGAGGUAUCUCUGGGCCCUCUCGGUAAUGCACAUCACAUAAGCCUUGCAAGCAUUACAACUAAUAUGUUAGUUGUGAGAUGAUGUAUUACAGAACGAGUACAGAGACUUGCCGGUAAUGAGAUUGAACUAGGUAUUGGAUACCGACGAUCGAAUCUCGGGCAAGUAACAUACCGAUGACAAAGGGAACAACGUAUGUUGUUAUGCGGUCUGACCGAUAAAGAUCUUCGUAGAAUAUGUAGGAGCCAAUAUGGGCAUCUAGGUCCCGCUAUUGGUUAUUGACCGGAGACGUGUCUCGGUCAUGUCUACAUUGUUCUCGAACCCGUAGGGUCCGCACGCUUAAGGUUACGAUGACAGUUAUAUUAUGAGUUUAUGCAUUUUGAUGUACCGAAGGUUGUUCGGAGUCCCGGAUAUGAUCAUGGACAUGACGAGGAGUCUCUAAAUGGUCGAGACGUAAAAAUUGAUAUAUUGGAAGCCUAUGUUUGGAUAUCGGAAGUGUUCUGAGUGAAAUCGGGAUUUUACCGGAGUACCGGGAGGUUACCGGAACCCCCCGGGAGCUAUAUGGGCCUUAGUGGGCUUUAGUGGAAAGGAGAAAGGGGCAGCCCAAGGUGGCUGUGCGCCUCCCCCCUUCCCCUAGUCCUAUUAGGACUAGGAGAGGUGGCCGGCCCCCUCUGUCUCUCUUUCCCCCCUCAAGGAGUCCUAUUCCAACUAGGAUUGGGGGGGGGGGGAUCCUACUCCCAGAGGGAGUAGGACUCUCCUGGCGCGCCUCCUAUGGCCGGCCAGCCUCCCCCCUCUAAUCAUUUAUAUACUGAGGCAGAGGCACCCCAGAAACACACAAGUUGAUCUACGUGAUCUAUUCCUUAGCCGUGUGCGGUGCCCCCAGCCACCAUAGUCCUCGAUAAUACUGUAGCGGAGUUUAGGCGAAGCCCUGCUGCUGUAGUACAUCAAGAUCGUCACCACGCCGUCGUGCUGACGGAACUCUUCCCCGACACUUUGCUGGAUCGGAGUCCGGGGAUGGUCAUCGAGCUGAACGUGUGCUCAAACUCGGAGGUGCCGUAGUUUCAGUGCUUGAUCGGUUGGAUCGUGAAGACGUACGACUACUUCCUCUACGUUGUCAACGCUUCCGCAGUCGGUCUGCGUGGGUACGUAGACAACACUCUCCCCUCUCGUUGCUAUGCAUCACCAUGAUCUUGCGUGUGCGUAGGAAAUUUUUUAAAAUUACUACGAAACCCAUCACAAGUGUUAUCUUAACAUGUCCAUCAUCUCACUAUUUCAUCAACACUUUUGAGCAUGUAAAAUCAUGAUUAUAUCAUUUAACAACUUUUACCAAACUUCCCUUAUGAAGUGAAUAUUUAUAAUAACAUUUGUACGACAUUAGAGGCAUGGCACAUAAAUGAUGCAAACAUGGCAUCAAUGUAACAUAAUCCUAAAACAUGAGAUAAAAUCAUGCAUCAACAUGAUACUUGCAGAAUGAAAAUAUUAGCAACUAUCAUAUCGAAACUAUAACUUGCGCUACCACAAGGAAGAGUUGACCAUAACAUGCAUAUGCGAUAAGAGACAUAAGAUUUUAGGACACACAUAUACAUAAAGUUCAAGCAAAUUCAACACAUAAAGUUUGCGGCUCAUGGUAAUAGGUUGGCUUGCCUUUGAUGAGAGAGUACCAUUGGCUCAAACAAAUCUUGAAUAUCCCGCGACAAAAAAUCCAAAAAAGUCCUCACCACAGAAAGGCGACAUUCAGUACAUAACGAAUAGCUGCCAAAAUAAUUAGAUUAUAUGACUAUUAAACCAGCACCAUUCGACCUAGCUUUUCAAAAUAUGAAUCUGGGAUUUUGAACCACACGAUCUUAUCAGCGGUUGCAAAGAUAUGGACGUUCGUUCGUUAGGAAGUAAAACAAACAAAACUAGGAGAACGCCCGUGCGUUGCUACGGGCUACAAUACAUAUAAAUGAAUCAAACAAAUAAUUAAGGUCAUCGCCAAGGUCAAAACGUCUUUCUCCAUCAUACAUCCGGAUGCGUUAGGACAUCAAACAGGCACCUUGCAGGCUCUCCAAAAUUCAACUAUUUGGACAAUCCGAACUCCUUCAAAUCAAGCCCAUAUGUGGGGGAGAAAUGUGAUUGUCUGGAUUAUCUGGCAUGUUAUCUCUCGCACACGAUCCCAACACAAAAACCCCACCCCACAGCACACCCUUUCCCUUUUCCAGGAGCCCUCGGCUUUAAAAUUGAAUGAGACUCACCUCACCUUACUUCGCCACAGACCGCCAUGGAGGAGUCCCUCGCCAACCGCCCCGCUCUCCGCCCUAAUACAACCCCACCCUUGUUCUCUUGCCGAUCUGCCACCGCCACCAAGCAGGACGCGUGCGCCACCCCUGAUGCCCUAAGCCAAGAAGGCAGAUCCAAUGUCUCUUGAGUCAUUGCCACAUUGUUACAUGCAGUUGAAUAUCAUGCAUUACCACAAACAAAAAUAUGAUGACAGAGGGAGUAUUAUUCUCCUGAUUCUGAUACACCACCAAGCCUAACAAAGCAAUAGAGUGCACCAAACUCAAAGUUGUUUGUAUAAGCAGAUUGUCAGAUAAUUUUGAGGGGUUCGCGGAGGAGCAAAUUAAAGCAACAUAUGCAUACCAUUGUAUUCUGAAAGAAAAUGCCAUGGUACUUACUACUCUUCCAAACUUAUUCUUGAUGGAAAUACAUAUAUAUUGGUGAAUACACAUCAUCUUUAUUUUAAUCCAUAUACAUUUAUUAGCUCGUGAACAUGAACUUUAGUUUUGCAGGAGAGAACCUGAGGAUGCUAUUUUUUGUUAGUACACAUGCCAUUGCAAACCUAGCUAGAUCUGUUCUCUCCAAUUAAUGCCAUCUGAAUUAAUCCACGGAUCCGUUUCCAUCGUGUGUCAUUAGGAGGUCCCUUGAACAAGCACAAGCAGAAUACAUAACAUUUGCAUUGCAUCCGUUUUACAGAACGACCAUGAGUAAUAAAAGGAUAAAAUGUGUCCAAAGUCCAAACUCUAGAGUAUGAUAUGUUCCGCUUCUUGGAUAGGGUUGGAGUUGAGUACCUCUUUAUUGCCAAGGGUGCCGAAGAGUGCCUCCUCACCAUAAUUUCCUUGUUGGUAAGCUUGAUUUUCUUCGAGACAAUCCUUUUUCUUAAAAAUAACAAAACUAAAACAAUCAGUUCUUAAACAUGGUCUAUGCUUUCAGAUUUCCUCGUUGGGUUCCAAUCCUGAUUUUCCAGCUUCUUCUUGAGUGUCCACGUUUGCUUCUAAUCAAAGGUAAAUUUAGCAUUAGUGUACGAACUUCAAUAGCAGUUUCUUCAGGUAUCACGACAUCUUGUAAUUUGUGAUUCUAACAAUUACUGUCUUACCUGCAAUUGCUAAAUUUAUACAGUGAAAAUACACUUCUAUGUUGAAAGAACUUCUCUCAAUUCGAUCAUACCAAUAUUUUAGCUAAUGCCAUUACAAGAAAAAUUAGCUGCAAGCAGAACCUGAGAUGCUGAGUAUACAUACUUGUGAGCUAAUCUAUUUUUUCAGUUAAUUUAAUAAAACUGAUUUAAUGGGCCAUAAAGUCCCUAGUCUCAAAUCUUUGAACUCGAAUAAUAAUAGCGGCAUAGUAUUGUGGUUGUAUCAGAAAGGUAACUUGCACAGCAUAUCGGCGAGUGGCUCCCGCGGGAGGUGGCUGCAGCGGUGAGCGGCUCCCGCGGCUGCUCGGGCGGCGGCUUCCGCGGGUGGCGGCUCCAGCGGCGAGCGGCUCCUACGGUGGCUCCCGCAGCGAAGGGCGGAUAGCGGCUACCGGAGUUUGCGAGGCGGCGAACGGCGUGUGAGGAGGAGGGGGAGGUCGUGCACGCAGGGGCUAGUGUCGUGCGAAGAGGGAGGUCAGAGAGGGCAUGAGGAGGGGGGUCAUCGCCGAAGAACCACGCCGUCGUGAGGUGGAGAGCCAGAUCGGGGAUUGGGGUGCGGCGGCGGGUGUGGCUAGAGGCGGGGAGACGAGGGGUAGGGUUCGAGGGAGGGAGGGAGCCUCGUUCGUCUAAUUUUUCACGUUACGUGCGAGGGGCCUUGUCCUGGUUAAAUUUCGUAGGUUAUUUUUCGUAGAUUUAUUUUAGGACCAAAAAAACAGUGAAGGUGGAAAGAAAAUUAACCGACGGAGACUACCAACUAUUGCACGCGAGUAGAGAUUAAUUAUUAUUAUUAGAGAAUUAGAGAUUAGAGAUUAUUUGUUUCCUGAAAAUCUAUUAUUUGUUUCCUAAAGCAAAUUGCAUUAAUGAGAGAGAUCCGUUGAUUUGGCUAAGGUAGGAAAGAAUAUAUUAUUUGUUUGCUAAAGCAAAUUGCAUUAAUUGGAGAGAUCCGUUGAUUUGGCUAAGGUAGGAAAGAAUCUAUUAUUUGUUUCCUAAAAAAAUUGCAUUAAUGGGAGAGAUCCGUUGAUUUGGCUAAGGUAGGAAAGAAUCUAUUAUUUGUUUCCUAAAGAAAAUUGCAUUAAUGAGAGAGAUUUGUUGAUUUGGCUAAGGUAGGAAAGAAUCUAUUAUUUGUUUGGUAAAGCAAAUUGCAUUAAUGGGAGAGAUCCGUUGAUUUCGCUAAGAUAGAAAAGAAUCUAUUAUUUGUUUCCUAAAGCAAAUUGCAUUAAUGAGAGAGAUUCGUUGAUUUGGCUAAGGUAGGAAAGUUAGAUCCGUGAGGUGGGACGAGGUACCAAAAAAACAAUGGGAGGUGGGACGAAAAAAACCAUAGGAGUAGAGAGUUGUCCCUGGUUAACCUACGAAAAAAAACCAGCGGAGAUGGGACGAAAAAAAACCUGGAAGCGAGACUACCAACUGCUCCCUUAGGAGUAGAGAUUACUGUCUUACCUACAAUUGCUAAAUUUAUACAGUGAAAAUACACUUCUAUGUUGAAAGAACUUCUCUCAAUUCGAUCAUACCAAUAUUUUAGCUAAUGCCAUUACAAGAAAAAUUAGCUGCAAGCAGAACCUGAGAUGUUGAGUAUACAUACUUGUGAGCUAAUCUAUUUUUCAGUUAAUUUAAUAAAACUGAUUUAACGGGCCAUAAAGUCCCUAGUCUCAAAUCUUUGAACUCGAAUAAUAAUAGCGGCAUAGUAUUGUGGUUGUAUCAGAAAGGUAACUUACACAGCAUAUCAGCGAGUGGCUCCCGCGGGCGGCGGCUGCAGCGGUGAGCGGCUCCCGCGGCUGCUCGGGCGGCGGCUUCCGCGGGCGGCGGCUCCAGCGGCGAGCGGCUCCUACGGUGGCUCCCGCGGCGAAGGGCGGAUAGCGGCUACCGGAGUUUGCGAGGCGGCGAACGGCGUGUGAGGAGGAGGGGGAGGUCGUGCACGCAGGGGUUAGUGUCGUGCGAAGAGGGAGGUCAGAGAGGGCAUGAGGAGGGGGGUCAUCGCCGAAGAACCACGCCGUCAUGAGGUGGAGAGCCAGAUCGGGGAUUGGGGUGCGGCGGCGGGUGCGGCUAGAGGCGGGGAGACGAGGGGUAGGGUUCGAGGAAGGGAGGGAGCCUCGUUCGUCUAAUUUUUCAUGUUACGUGCGAGGGGCCUUGUCCUGGUUAAAUUUCGUAGGUUAUUUUUCGUAGAUUUAUUUUAGGACCAAAAAAACAGUGAAGGUGGGAAGAAAAUUAACCGACGGAGACUACCAACUAUUGCACGCGAGUAGAGAUUAAUUAUUAUUAUUAGAGAAUUAGAGAUUAGAGAUUAGAGAUUAUUUGUUUCCUGAAAAUCUAUUAUUUGUUUCCUAAAGCAAAUUGCAUUAAUGAGAGAGAUCCGUUGAUUUGGCUAAGGUAGGAAAGAAUAUAUUAUUUGUUUGCUAAAGCAAAUUGCAUUAAUAGGAGAGAUCCGUUGAUUUGGCUAAGGUAGGAAAGAAUCUAUUAUUUGUUUCCUAAAGAAAAUUGCAUUAAUGGGAGAGAUCCGUUGAUUUGGCUAAGGUAGAAAAGAAUCUAUUAUUUGUUUCCUAAAGAAAAUUGCAUUAAUGAGAGAGAUUUGUUGAUUUGGCUAAGGUAGAAAAGAAUCUAUUAUUUGUUUGGUAAAGCAAAUUGCAUUAAUGGGAGAGAUCCGUUGAUUUCGCUAAGAUAGAAAAAAAUCUAUUAUUUGUUUCCUAAAGCAAAUUGCAUUAAUGAGAGAGAUUCGUUGAUUUGGCUAAGGUAGGAAAGUUAGAUCCGUGAGGUGGGACGAGGUACCAAAAAAACCAUGGGAGGUGGGUGGAAAAAAACCAUAGGAGUAGAGAGUUGUCCCUAGUUAACCUACGAAAAAAAACCAACGGAAGUGGGACGAAAAAAACCUGGAAGCGAGACUAGCAACUGCUCCCUUAGGAAUAGAGAUUGUUUGGUAAAGCAAAUUGCAUUAAUGGGAGAGAUCCGUUGAUUUCGCUAAGAUAGAAAAGAACCUAUUAUUUGUUUCCUAAAGCAAAUUGCAUUAAUGAGAGAGAUUCGUUGAUUUGGCUAAGGUAGGAAAGUUAGAUCCGUGAGGUGGGACGAGGUACCAAAAAAACCAUGAAAGGUGGGACGAAAAAAAACCAUAGGAGUAGAGAGUUGUCCCUGGUUAACCUACGAAAAAAAACCAACGAAGGUGGGACGAAAAAAAAUCUGAAAGCGAGACUACCAACUGCUUUCGUAGGAGUAGAGAUCUUCCAUUUUAGCUAUUAACUGACGAACGCCCACCUUUUCAGCGUCGAGGUGAGGCCGAAAGGGUCGUUCCACUUAAGUGGAAUGGGCCCGGGUCAUCAGUGCCUCCUGCUGACAGGUGGGGCACUGGUUAACUCUUCCUCUGCCUGACGAGUAGGACCAAGGAUCUCAAUGGUCAGCCUGUCCUUUUUUUUAUUUGCUUUGAUCAAAUCUCCUUUCUUUCUUCUUCUCAAUGACGAGUGGGACCAAGGGUCUCACCGGGCGCAGCAGAACGGCUCGGCCGCCGAUGCGGCCGUCGGAUGGCGGUGCCAGGACGCUCGCCGACGAGCGUAGGAUGACCGCCGGUGUUAGCCAGUCCUCACCGCCCCUUAGGGAUAGCGUACGGACGUCGGGGCGACCGAGACGAAGGCAUCGCGUCCCAUUGCGGACGGUGACGACUGACGACCGGCACGAGGAUCUCCUGCGUGGGACACGAAGCUCGAAGGCGCCGAUAUCGCUCUCUCUCUGGUGUCUCAAUGGGUGGCUCUGGUGAAUGGAACAGAAAGAGAAGGCCCCGAGGAUCGGCUGCGGGCGCCAUUGACGGGGAGGAGAAAUGCGGGCACUGGAACUCGAUUCAAAGGACUGGGCUGGAGGUCGUACAACAGACAACGGAGGAUAGGGCUGGCGCGCUGCCACGAACAGAAGAGCGGGAGGGGGAAGGAUGGAGCCCGACCCUUUGUGUGCCAGGAAGGUGGUGACCACCAUGGGAGCUCUGCGAAUGCCCUGGUGUGCUACGCGUGUACCUGGAGCUCCACUGCUGCUGACCUUAUCUUGUCGCCCCAGUGCACCUCUGGGACAGCUUCAGGCCGUCGCCAGGUCCAGCACCACAAGGCAACCAUGGCAUGAAAUAUUUGCCCAUUGGCAACUGACGCACACAAGGUGUUCGACAGCGAUUCUGAUUCCUUCUUCGACUCUAUUUGCUGUGGAAGUUGGGCCAUGGGAAGUGGAUAUGCAUCAAUGGUAGGCCUACCAAAUUGAACGACAAAACUAGGAAGUUGGAUCAAUGAGGCGAGGAUCCUAGCAGGCAUGGUGGCUUUAUGGAGGAAGAAGGGACCAAGGGUUCCUUGAAAGCUAUGGAGGAUGAGAGCAACAGCGACACGUGCAGUAGGAGCCCUAUGCCGGCUACGAGUCCCUCAACUGAAGCUAGUGAUCGAUUCUCUGCUGCACAAACACACACGUGUCGGACAGGACAGCUAAAUCGUGAUUAAUUCCAUCAAAUCUAAAUCCUAAUUAACUUCAACAGUGCUGGCCUUUCUGCGCGUGUUCGCCGAGGAGUCUGGCAUGGCCCGGCCCCGGCGCGUCAAGCAAUGUGCCGAGGUGGUGUGGCGCUGCGCCUCGGUGGUCGCGGGGCAAGGGAUGUGAGGUGGAGCGCCCUGAGGGCAGUGAGAAGGCCGUCGAGUGGAGUCCUUCGAUGUCGUCGUCGUCGUUUGCAACAGCUGCUGCAGUGCACCAUGCCACUCGUGCUCAGGGACACACCACGGCGACGACCACAAGGAGGAGUAGACUCAGCUAGACCAAAAGCCUACAUGCACACAGAUCAACAGAUGGAUGCACCGUGCCAAGUUAUAGGAGUAUUUAAGCAAAAACUACCACAUUUCACACAAACGUGACACAAAACUACCACUUUACGAUUUUGUGCGGAAAACUACCACUUUUGUCCUAAUCCGUGGCAAAAAACUACCAAGUCUCGAAACCGGUCGCUUCGCCCGCGCUAAAUAGCAAACUGACCAGCCGGUCCCACGUUUCAGGUGCCACGGUGGCCAACCGACGCCCGCCGCGUGUUAACGGUGCGUCCGCGGUCGAAAACGGCGUUUGUCAGUUUGCGUUCAAUGCACCAAAAUGUGGGACUGGCCAUUUGAUGCUGAUCCUCUGACGACGCUGUUUCCAACCGCGGACGCGCCGUUAACGUGCGGCGGGCAUCGGUUGGCCACCGUGGCGCCUGAAACGUGGGACCGGCUGGUUAGUUUGGUGCUUAGCGCGGGUGAAGCGACCGGUUUCGAGACUUAAUAGUUUUUUGCCACGGAUUAGGACAAAAGUGAUAGUUUUCCGCACAAAAUCGUAAAGUGAUAGUUUUCUGUCAUGUUUCCGUGAAAUGUGAUAGUUUUUGGUUAAAUACUCCAAGUUAUAGCAACUAUUUCAUGUAUUUUUUAAAUUUAGGUAUCAAACUGACCAUGCCGUACAAGUUAAGGCACAUGUAUUUAACUCUUUUAGAAAGUUUCAGCUAAAAUUUCGUUGCAAACCUGCUUAUCAUUUCAGCUUGAAGAUAAAUAUAUUCAUGGUCACUGAAGUUGAGGUCAAAGCACACUACGGUCACCGAACUUCAGAAUACGCUCAAUACGAUCAUUGAAUACAAAUUGUGAUGAUUAUACGGUCACUGAUCAACCGUAAACUUCCGUAUUUUGUCUAGUUGAUGGUCAACUCGUGUGUGUGGCAAUCUUUGACUGGUCACACUCUCUCUACCACGUGGGUCCCACAUGUCAGUUGGGCAGAAGAAAUAAAUAAAGCAAACGCAAUGGCGCCCGGCACGACCUACCACUACCGGUGCGGCAAGGCUGGCGACGAGCUCACCCUCCGGACCCCUCGGGCGUCGAGCUCGUCGUCACCGGCGACCUCGGCCAGACCCGCUGGACCGCGUCGACGCUGGCGCACAUCGGCGGCGCGGACUACGACAUGCUGCUGCUCCCGGGCGACCUGUGGUACGCGGACACGCAGCAGCCGCUGUCGGACUCGUUCGGGCGGCUGGUGCAGCCGCUGGCGAGCGCGCGGCCGUGGACGGUGACGUAGAGCAACCACGAUAGGAAGGUGCUGCCCGUCGUCGGGUUCGCGCCCUUCAAGGCGUACAACGCGCGGUGGCGCAUGCCGCACGAGGAGAGCGGCUCGCGGCUCGCUCGCCCUCCAAGUUCCAACCUCUACUACUAGUUCGACGUGGCCGGCGGCGCGGCGCACGUCGUGAUGCUCGGCUCCUACACCGAAUUCUAGCAAGGGUCGGAGCAGUAGGCGUGGCUGGAGCGGGACAUCGCCGGCGUGGACCGGCGGAGGACGCCGUGGCUGCUGGUGCUGCUGCACGCGCCGUGGUACAACACCAACCAGGCCCACCAGGGGGGUGGCGAGGCGAUGCGCGACGCCAUGGAGACGCUCCUCUACGAGGCUAGCGUCGACGUCGUCUUCUCUGGCCACGCCCAUGCCUACGAGCGAUUCGUAAGCCAGCCUUUUAUAGUUAGUUGAUUAUCUAUAUUGUUGCUCCAUCAAUGAACUGCAAGAGAAACUAAUUUUCUGGCUGAUGGAUGAAACAGACGAGGAUCUACGACAACGAGGCCGACGGCCGGGGCCCAAUGUACAUAACCAUCGGCGACGGCGGCAAUAGAGAAGGGCUUGCUCUCAAGUACGUACACGAUCGGUCUCACCGCAACACGUUUGCUUUAUUUAUUUCUUCUGUCCGACUGACAUGCAGGACCCACGUGGUAGAGAGAGCGCAGGACCAGUCAAAGAUUGCCACACAGAACAGUUGACCGGUCAACCAGAUAAAAUACGGAAGUCUACGGUUUGCCAGUGACCGUAUAAUCACCACAACUCGUAUUCGAUAACCGUAUUAAGUGUAUUCUGAAGUUCAGUGACCGUAGUGUGCUUUGGCCUCAACUUCAGUGACCACAAGUGUAUUUAUCUCUUUCAGCUUGCUUUGCUAAUGCGCGAGCACGCGCUCCUCGGUUUAAGACGGCCCAAUUAGGUAGCAAGCCAUGUUAAAAUCAGGGACCCAAGAAAAUUAGACAAACUUAGAGCAUCUCCAACAGCCGCGCUGGAAAAUUUGGGUUUUUUGCGCGCGCGCAACCGCUCCGGAAGCUCCAGCGGAGGCGCUAAAACCGCGCGCGGCAUAAGUAGUUCAGCGCGCCGGCCGAAACGACAUCGCACGCCGUUUAUUUGCUGCGCCCGCUCCCGCACGCUGCACACUCGAGCGCUCAUCGCGACUUCCACCUACCCCAAUCCAAGCGCUGGCGCCGCCGCCCGCACCAUUCCGGCGUUUCCCCGGCCUAUCCCUGCGCCGCCGCUCCUUCCUUCGUCUCCCUGUAGUCGCUGCCGCCCCUCGCGCGUGCCAUUCCUCCGACGAAUAGCGCCCGGCCGCCCACUGCCGCUUGGCGCCCACAAGGUGUUCGAUAAAGCGCUUGCAAGGUAUGUAUUGCUUCAACUUCACUUUUUUUACAUGAAUUUGGUGCAUGUUGUCUGUAGUUUUUACAUACUAGUUUAAAUUCAACAUUAUAGAUGAGUUCGUCAUAUGAUUCUUUCAAAGAAGAAUUUGAUAUUGAAGAGGAGGACCUUGCAAUGAUCCUAGCUAUGCACAUCAAUAAAAAAUCGAAGCGCGGUGGUUCGGUUAUGGGUCGGCAGAAAAUUUGGAGGGAUAAGAUCGAUGCCGACAACGGAUUGAUGAGCCGCUAUUUUGAGGAUAAUCCCGUGUACCCCGAGUCGUACUUCCGGCGCCGGUUUAGGAUGAGCACCGAGUUGUUCAGGCGCAUUGCAGAGAAACUAGCGAGCCAUGAUCGGUUUUUUCAGCAAAGGAGGAAUGUCGCAGGAGAGCUCGGGCAUAGCACCUUUCAUAAGACAGCCGCUUUGCGUAUGUUGGCAUACAAUAUUCCAGCUGAUCUAGUUGAUGGCCACUUGGCCAUGGGUGAGAGUCAAGCCAUCAUGUGUGUCAAGCGCUUCGCAGUCGGAAUUGUGCAAGUGUUUGGCCUGGAGUAUUUGAGAUUUCCCAAAGCUGAAGACUGUGCAAGGCUUUUGGAGAUGAACUAAUCUCGUGGGUUCCCAGGUAUGCUUGGCUCAAUAGAUUGCAUGCAUUGGAGUUGGAAGAACUGUCCUAAGGCAUGGCAUGGGCAAUUCCACGACAAAAAAAGGGUUCCACUAUAAUCCUUAAAGCGGUGGCCAAUCAAGAGACUUGGAUUUGGCAUGCUUUUUUGGAAUGUCUGGAUCUUUGAAUGAUAUCAAUGUUGUUAAUCGGUCAUCACGGAUGAAUAAGAUUGCAAAUGGUGAACUGCCUGAUGAAGCUAUGUUCCUAGGGUAGGGGCACGGACCCGUCCAAAGAGCCCUACCCAAGGACAUCCCUAGAAGAAGUCACCUUUCAAUCGACUUGAAGGUAUCCCACUCGACAGGUUCAAGACACUCGACCAAGACGCUAUCACUCGACCAUGAAGCUAGCCACUCGAGCGCCAGGAGAUCUGAAGUCACUCCGCAGGCAAACGGACGGAUAUUAAGUAGUAUUUAUGGUCGUUAUAGCACUUUAUUAGGGGCGUUACCAGUAACGCCCAACCUUAAAUGUACCUUAAACCCUGCAUUACUGAGGGCAGGAGAAGGGCCGGCGAACUCUAUAUAAGCCACCCCCUCCUCAGUAUGAAGGGUUCGCACCCCUGUUAUCCACACACGCAUAAUCCAAUCGACCGCCUCCGGGCACCGAGACGUAGGGUUGUUACUUCCUCCGAGAAGGGCCUGAACUCGUAAUCCUCGUGUGCUUACAACUUCUCCAUAGCUGAGAUCUAGCCUCUCCAUACACACCCCCCUACAUCACUGUCAGAGUUAGAACCACGACAGUUGGCGCCCACCGUGGGGCAGGAGUCUUAGCGCCUUGUUAGAGAAGUUGCGAUCUUUUCCGAUCCAUUUGAUCAUGGUUUCCUGCGGAGUUUUGGUGGAGGGCCGCGGGAUCCGUCUCGGCGCGCUCACGUUCAUCGCCGACGACUCCGCCUGGCUUCAGGAGGCGCCGCUCGACAUCGACGCGCUCCCCGUCCGCGGUGCGACGCACUUCCGCGCAUGCAUUCGUGGCGUCCUCCUACGACAGCCGUCGACCCAGUAUCAGUCGGCUCCCGUGUCGUCUCCCCGCCCCGUCUCCCACCAGCGCAAGCGCUCCGGUCGGUCGAGACUCCAGCGGUGGGUGGGUGGGGCAUGCCGUGGCCCGCCAGUCGGCAGCCCCACAAGUCGCGGCAAUCGAGCCUGACGAAUCCCUCUGCGGCUUGUUCGACUGGCUCCGCGGAGACCGCAUCCGAGUGCGACAGCAGCGACCCAGCGGCUGAGGCUCUGGCGAUUGAUGGGACACACAGUCCUCCCGGUUUCCCUCGCGCUGAUGGAGGUGCGGGUGGGGGCGACCCGUCGCAUCCCCACGAUGAGUAUCUCCCCGAACCUCUCACAUCAUUGCAGUGAGAGGAGCUUCACCGCCGGAACAUGGACGCGCUCCACACUCCUAUUGUCGGAGAAACCCCCGAGGCUUGGGCCUUGGAGGACGCGCGCUUGGCUAACCUGGCCGAGCGCACUCGACUGGAGAAUCUUCAGCGAAUACUCGACGAGCAAGCGCGUCAGCAGGCUCCCGAGUCCAGUCGACGUCAGCAAGCUCCUGAGUCCAGUCGAUGUCAGCUCUUCCCGCCGCCGCAGGUAUACCAAACCCUAGUUCAGAAUUUGGCCGCUGCAGCCCAUAUAGCAGAAUCAAUUCAGCCCUCCCAGUCGGAGGCCGGCAGGGGCUUGUUGCAGAUCAGAGCGUUGCUCCGGGCGGCGGGAAACCAGAAUUCCGCCGUUUCUCAGUCGUGGAACAGGAUCCACAGUCGAUCCGUUGCAACAGAUACAGUCCAGUCGGCUCACAGCCCGAGAUCGCCCCCGAGGCGUGAGGGACGUGGUGACCGGCAUGAUCAAUACAGGAGGAAUGAGCAGUAUGAUCACCGGUUCGAUCGUGAUGAUCGACGUCGAGUGCCAACCCCUCCCCCAAGGAGUGGGUCGUAUGCGCCUCGACGGCAAGAUGACAGACGCCCUCAUAGUGUUGGGUAGAGGAUUCUAGUCGACCCCAGGGACCCAGGCUUUGAUGCGAGAUCCAUCCUCAUUCAAGGUUUGGUUGACAGGAACAGAGCUUAUCGAGAAGGCCACAACAGAGAUGCGCCUGCCAGCAGCAGAGUACAUGCUUCAGGGCCAGAGUGUUUCAGUCGAGCCAUCAGAGCCGCAGUGAUUCCUCCCAACUUCAGGCUGGCGACUGGAGUCAACAAGUUCACCGGUGAAUCUAAGCCUGACACUUGGCUCGAAGAUUACCGAGUGGCUGUACAGAUUGGCGGUGGCAAUGAUGAGGUAGCCAUGAAGCAUUUGCCUCUCAUGUUGGAGGGCUCAGCCAAAGCGUGGAUAAAUCAGUUGGGACCCAGCAGCAUCUAUACUUGGGAGGACCUCUCCCGAGUGUUUGUCACAACCUUUGAAGGGACCUGCAAGCGACCUGCGGGCCUUACAGAGUUGCGGUGCUGCGUACAGAAGCCGAAUGAAACCCUGAGGGAUUACAUCCAGAGGUGGAUCACACUGCAUCACACGGUUGAGAAUGUGCCAGACCAUCAAGCAGUUUGUGCCUUCAAGGAAGGCGUUAAAUACAGAGAGUUGAAUCUGAAGUUCGGUCGAACCGGAGAAAUGUCUCUGAAUCGGAUGAUGGAAAUUGCCACCAAGUACGCUAAUGGUGAAGACGAAGAUCGACUCCGGAGUGGCAAGCACAAGGCAGUCGCCCAAGAGACUGGAGGAAACUCCAGUCGGAAACAGAAGCGGAAGGCCGAGCCAGCCGCCCCUGGGGAGGCCCUGGCCGUAACCCAGGGAAACUUCAAGGGAAAAUCCAAGGGCACCUGGAAGCCCAAGAAAGUCAAAGAUCAAGAUGGAAAUGAUGUUUUAGAUCUGCCAUGUCACAUCCACAACAAGAAAGAUGAAGAGGGUAAUUUUAUUUACCCAAAGCAUACCACUCGACAGUGCCGGCUCCUGAUCCAGCAAUUUCGGGGCAAGCAGCCCAAAGAUAAGGAAAAAGAGCCGGACAGGGCUGAGGAAAAGGAUGACAGCGACGAUGAUACCCCCAGGUCAAUUCCACCGUGAUGAUUUUUUCCGAUGUCGAAAGCAAAAGUCGACUGAAAGUCAUUAACCGUGAGGUGAACAUGGUUGCUCCAGCAACACCCAGUUACCUGAAGUGGUCUCAGACUACCAUCACAUUCGACCAGUCUGAUCACCCGACGCACAUUGCCACCCCUGGGAGGCAAGCUUUGGUGGUCGACCCAGUUGUCGAAGGCACUCGACUGACCAAAGUCCUGAUGGAUGGUGGCAGUGGCCUGAACAUACUGUAUGCUGAAACUUUGAAAGGAAUGGGCAUUCCGAUGUCCAGACUCAGUACCAGUAACAUGAGCUUCCACAGAGUCAUUCCUGGGAAGAAAGCCGAAUCACUCGGCCAGAUUGCUCUUGAUGUGGUUUUCGGUGAUUCAAAGAAUUACCGCAAGGAAAAGUUGACAUUCGAGGUUGUGGACUUCCAAAGUGCUUAUCAUGCCAUUUUGGGCAGGCCAGCUUACGCACGCUUCAUGGCUCGACCAUGUUACGUGUAUCUCAAUCUGAAGAUGCCUGGCCCCAAAGGUGUGAUCACUGUUACAGGCAACCGAAAGAAAGCAGAAGAGUGUUUUCAGAAAGGCUCAAAGAUCGCUGAUGCUCAGAUGGCAGUGGUCGAGCUGCAAGUGUACCAGAAGACUGCUGAUCCGAGUGAAUUGCUGCGAGCCAAGAAGCCUGCUUCAGAAUCAGCUUUUCAGUCGUCCAGUGAAAUGAAGCCAGUCCACAUUCACCCGACCGACCCCGAUGUUGCCCCGACUCACAUCUCAACGACGCUCGACUCCAAAUAGGAAGAAGCGCUCGUCCAGCUCCUCCAUGAGAACUGGGACAUCUUCGCAUGGAAACCCUCUGACAUGCCUGGAGUUCCUAGGGGGCUGGCUGAGCACCGUCUACGAGUCGACCCAAAAUUCAAGCCUAUGAAGGAACAUCUUCGACGGUCCGCCGUCCAGAAGAAGCAAGCCAUUGGCGAGGAGGUGGCUCGGCUCUUAGCAGCGGAGUUCAUCCGAGAGAUUUACCACUCCGAGUGGGUGGCUCGCCAAUGUCGUCAUGGUCCCCAAGAAGGACAAGUCACUUCGCAUGUGCAUUGAUUUCAAACAUAUCAAUCGGGCCUGCCCGAAAGAUCAUUUUCCUCUCCCUCGCAUCGACCAAAUAGUCGACUCGACUGCGGGGUGCGAGAGAUUGUCUUUUCUAGAUGCCUAUUCCGGGUACCAUCAGAUCCGUCUGUACGGACCCGACGAGAUCAAAAUAGCUUUCAUCACUCCAUUCGGAUGCUUCUGUUACGUCACCAUGCCGUUCGGCCUCAAGAACGCCGGAGCCACAUUCAUGAGAAUGAUUCAGAAGUGUUUACUCACUCAAAUCAGUUGGAAUGUGGAGGCAUACAUGGAUGAUAUUGUGGUCAAGUCACGGAAAGGUUCCGACCUGUGGACUGACCUUGCUGAAACCUUUGCCAACCUCAGGAGGUAUGAUAUCAAGCUCAAUCCAUCAAAGUGCACAUUCGGAGUUCCAGGUGGAAAGUUACUCGGUUUUCUCGUUUCCGAACGAGGGAUCGAUGCCAAUCCUGAAAAAAUUGGUACCAUACUCUGGAUGAAGCAUCUUGUACGCGUGCACGAUGUCCAAAAGCUUACAGGCUGCUUGGCCACCCUAAGUCGAUUCAUUUCUCAUCUCGGUGAAAAGGCAUUGCCUCUUUACCGACUGAUGAAGAAGUCUGACAAGUUCGAGUGGACUCCAGAAGCUGAUGCAGCAUUUGCAGAACUCAAAGCUCUGCUCUCCACCCAGCCGGUGCUCGCUGCCCCAAUCAGCAAAGAGCCUCUGCUGUUGUACAUUGCAGCCACAGGACAAGUUGUCAGUACAGUACUUACGGUCGAGCGGGAAGAAGAAGGAAAGGCCUUCAGAGUUCAGCGCCCAGUCUAUUAUGUGUCUGAAGUUUUGACCCCUUCAAAACAAAGAUACCCUCACUACCAGAAGCUCGUAUAUGGGAUUUAUAUGAUCACGAAGAAGGUUGCACAUUACUUCUCUGACCACUCCAUUACAGUCAUCAGCGACGCCCCACUGUCAGAGAUUCUGCAUAACAGAGAUGCAACUGGUCGAGUGGCCAAGUGGGCGAUUGGACUCCUUCCCUUAGAUAUCAAGUUUGAAGCAAAGAAGGCUAUCAAGUCCCAAGCAAUCGCAGAUUUCGUCGCUGAGUGGAUUGAACAGCAACUUCCGACUCAAGUUCACUCGGAGCACUGGACCAUAUUCUUCGAUGGAUCUAAGAUGAUGAAUGGUUCCGGUGCUGGGGUAGUAUUAGUCUCCCCCCGAGGAGAUAAGCUCAGAUACGUUCUCCAGAUUCACUUCGAUUCCUCCAAUAAUGAAGCAGAAUAUGAAGCACUUUUAUAUGGGUUGCGCAUGGCCAUUUCACUCGGCGUCCGUCGCCUCAUGGUCUAUGGCGACUUAGAUUUGGUGGUUAAUCAGGUGAUGAAGGAGUGGGACGUCAGAAGUCCGGCUAUGACUGGUUAUUGCAAUGCAGUGAGAAAGCUAGAAAAGAAAUUUGAGGGGUUGGAGCUUCAUCACAUCCCCCGACUGAAAAAUCAGGCAGCUGACGAUUUGGCAAAGAUAGGCUCCAAAAGAGAAGCCAUUCCCAGCAACGUGUUCCUGGAACACAUUCACUCGCUGUCGGUCCAAGAAGAUCCUUUUACAGAAGAAGCCCCGCAGCCGAAAAGUGCCACAGAUCCGACUGAAGUCGAAGUUCCUGCUGUGGUCGACCUAAUCAUGGAAGUCUUGGCAAUCACUCCCGACUGGACGAUACCGUACAUCGCGUAUAUCCUAAGGAAAGAACUCCCAGAGGAUGAGGAAGAGGCUCGACAGAUCAUCCGCCAAUCCAAGGCCUUCAUAGUCAUAAAGGGACAGUUGUAUAGAGAAAGCGCGACUGGAAUCGGUCAGAAGUGCAUAACACCAGAAGAGGGUCGGAUAAUCCUUGAUGAUAUCCACUCGGGGACCUGUGGUCACCAUGCGUCCUCUCGUACCAUUGUGGAUAAAGCAUACCGAGCGGGAUUUUACUGGCCUAGAGUAAAUGAGAUGGCAAAAGAGAUAGUCGACAAGUGUGGAGGGUGCCAGUUCUACUCCAACAUGUCACACAAGCCUGCAUCAGCCCUGAAGACCAUUCCACUCAUCUGGCCCUUUGCUGUCUGGGGACUAGACAUGGUUGGUCCACUGAGAACAGGCAGAAGUGGUUUCACUCAUGUGCUUGUGGCAGUCAACAAGUUUACCAAAUGGAUUGAAGUCAAGCCUAUCAAGAAUCUUGAUGCUUGUACUGCUAUCAGUUUCGUCAGAGGGCUAACAUUCAGAUAUGGAGUCCCGCAUAGCAUCAUCACUGACAAUGGGUCAAACUUCGAUUCGGACAAGUUCAGAGCUUUUUGCGCCUCUCAAGGCACUCGAGUCGACUACGCAUUGGUCGCCCAUCCCCAGUCGAAUGGACAAGCUGAAAGAGCAAAUGGUCUGAUUCUCAAAGGACUAAAGCCUUGACUAAUGCGUGAUCUCAAGCACGCGGCAGGUGCUUGGGUCGACGAGCUUCCGUUAGUUCUGUGGGGAUUGAGGACCACCCCGAACUGGUCGACUGGAAGAACUCCAUUCUUUCUGGUUUAUGGAGCCGAAGCAGUUCUACCAAGCGAUCUUCUUCACAACGCACCCCGAGUCGAACUUUAUACCAAAGAUGAAGCAGAACAAGCCCGGCAAGACGCAGUCGACCUCCUAGAAGAAGAGAGAGAGAGAUGGCCAUGAUCAGAUCGACCAUUUAUCAGCAAGACUUGCGUCGAUUCCACGCCAGGAAUGUCAAGAGUCGAGCCUUCCAAGAAGGAGAUUUGGUCCUCCGAGUGGAUCAACAGAAACCACACAAGCUUGCUCCUACUUGGGAAGGCCCCUUCAUCGUCACCAGAGUCCUCCACAAUGGAGCGUAUCACCUCUACAAUGUUGAUCGCCAGAUCGACGAGCCACGAGCUUGGAAUGCGGAACUGCUCCGCCCCUUUUACACUUGAGUUCUCCCUUGGACGAGAUGUAAUAAGAAAAAUUUCUGCAGUUUAUUUUUAUCAAAGACAAGAGUGUUCCAAUAAUUGCCGUCACUUUUGUUUGCUUAAGAAAUCCCCCAGUGGGUGACUUAGCUGCGAAUCUGUUUCACCUAAGUUCGAAAAAUCCUACCGAGUGGAGAGCCAUACUCCCACUCGGGGGCUUAGCUGCAGCCCAGUGCUCGCCUAAGUGUUCAAAAAUCCUACCGAGUGGAGAGCCAGACUCCCACUCGGGGGCUUAGCUGCAGUCCAGUACUCGCCUAAGAUCUCCCACUAAGAGACUUAGCUGUAGUCAGGCACUCGCCUAAGUUUGAAAAAAUCCUACCGAGUGGAGAGCAAACCUCCCACUCGGGGGCUUAGCUGCAGCCCAGCGCUCGCCUAAGUGUUUAAAAAUCCCACCGAGUGGAGAGCAAACCUCCCACUCGGGGGCUUAGCUGCAGCCCAGCGCUCGUCUAAGUGUUUAAAAAUCCUACCGAGUGGAGAGCAAACCUCCCACUCGGGGGCUUAGCUGCAGCCCAGCGCUCUCNNNNNNNNNNNNNNNNNNNNNNNNNNNNNNNNNNNNNNNNNNNNNNNNNNNNNNNNNNNNNNNNNNNNNNNNNNNNNNNNNNNNNNNNNNNNNNNNNNNNNNNNNNNNNNNNNNNNNNNNNNNNNNNNNNNNNNNNNNNNNNNNNNNNNNNNNNNNNNNNNNNNNNNNNNNNNNNNNNNNNNNNNNNNNNNNNNNNNNNNNNNNNNNNNNNNNNNNNNNNNNNNNNNNNNNNNNNNNNNNNNNNNNNNNNNAAUCCUACCGAGUGGAGAGCAAACCUUCCACUCGGAGGCUUAGCUACAGCCCAGUGCUCGCCUAAGUGUUUAAAAUCCUACCGAGUGGAGAGCAAACCUUCCACUCAGAGGCUUAGCUGCAGCCCAGCGCUCGCCUAAGUGUUUAAAAUCCUACCGAGUGGAGAGCAAACCUCCCACUCGAGGGCUUAGCUGCAGCCCAGCGCUCGCCUAAGUGUUUAAAAAUCCUAUCGAAUGGAGAGCAAACCUCCCACUCGGGGGCUUAGCUGCAGCCCAGUACUCGCCUAAGUGUUUAAAAAUCCUACCGAGUGGAGAGCAAACCUCCCACUCGGAGGCUUAGCUGCAGCCCGGUGCUCGCCUAAGUACAGGACUCAACCCAAUCCGCAAGAAGUUACGCCACAAAUACAAGGUUAUUUCGAGUGAAGAUCAAGUUCCACUCGACAGAUCAAACCAUGAAGAUAUUCGACAAGAAAUCAAGUUCGGAUAAAGCCAAAAGGUCCCAGACCCCAGAUCAAAGUACUCGAGCCCUCGGCUCGGCAGAGUUUAACUGUUACACAUCCACUCGGCAUUCCGAGGCAAAUUUAAGGCAGAGUUUAACGGUUACAAAUCCACUCAGCAUUCCAAGGCAAAUUUAAGGAGAAGCAUAAAAGUUUUUCACUCCUCAGGCGGAGGACUGGAAGGGGCGGCGAACUCAUCCAAGUCGAUCCCGUCUGCAAUACGAGUGGCAGCAGCAAUGAAAGUCUCCAUGAAGUCUUGAAAGCUGUGCUUCUUGGUAUUGGCAACUUGGAUGGCGGCCAGCUUCUCUUCUCGCGCCUCCUUGCAAUGGACGCGACCAGAGACAGAGCCACAUCAGCGCCACACCGAGCAAAAGACUUCUUCCACUCCUGCACUCGGUCAAGGAUUCCGUUAAGACGAGUCAUCAGAGAGUCGAGGUCGUUUUGGAGCGUAGCCUCUGGCCAAAGUGCCGGGUCGAUUCGUGACAUGGCAACCUUCAGUCGAGCCAAGUAGUCCACGACACCGUCAAUGCGAGAUUCCAGUCGGAGCAGAUUCAUGGCAGCUUCAUCUUUCACGGGAGAGUUGAUUAGAUCCAAACCUGUUUCGAUCCGCCCAGUCUCCUCCUCAAAGUUCUGGCAAAACUCUGCAUUCACGAUCCAAGGAUAAGUCAAUUUUCAUAGACCGAGUCGACACAAAAAAAACUAGUCGGAACUGAAUGCGCACCUUCAAGCUUGAUGUACAACUUCUUGGCGAGUCUCCUCAAGUAGCUCUCCAGGUCGUCCCUCCUGCGAGCGAUGCCUUCCAUCUUUUCUUUCAGGGUGAGGUUCUCCUUCUUCCAACGUGUACACUCCCUGUUGGCUUCAUUCAGAGCGGUCUUCAGCUUGGUAUUCUCUUCUUCUAAUUGGCCGACUAAAGCCAGCUUCUGUGCGGCCAGAGCAGUCUUGUCAUCAGCCUCCUUACGGGCAGCAGCCAAGUCCUGAUCCUUCUUCGCCAGAGCUUCGCUCGGUUUUUCUGCAAAGAAAUGAUGGUUGAUUCAGAAAUAACAGAAGGGUACUCAAGCCUAAAAACUAACCAGUCGACAAAGUCGUCUUACCCGCGGCGCCGUCUCUGACCUUCUGCAGAUCUGUUCUGGUCAGCUCCAGAUCAAUGUUCAGUUGAAUCUGCUGCUUCUCCAACUCAGUAUAGCGAGCUACAAGUUCGCAGGAUUUCUGCAAAAAAAAAAGAAAAAAAAGAGAAAAAUCAGUCGACAGACGUCCAAGAUAAGUUGCUUCCGAGUAACUAAGAGACAAUGAUGACGUUUCUAAGACCACAGCCGAAUCAAAAACAUUCGACAGUAGUCUCGGGGACUACACCCAGUGGGUGCACUCAGUGUGCCCCCACUGUAAAAAAAAGAAAGAGAGAAAAAGUCGACUGCCCGCAGUCGACCGGAUACAGUUCCACUCGACCUGGCCCGACCAGACCGAGUGAACAAAUACAAUUACAGAAACACAAUGUAAAGACUACAGUCGACUGCCAGCAGUCCACCGUAGUCUCGGGGACUACACCCAGUGGGUUCACUUAGCGUGCCCCCACUCAUCCAAGAAUUGGCAGACACACCCAGUGGGUGUACAGAUACAAAGAUCUUUGGAAAAGAGACUCUUCAAACAGCAUAUCAUAACAGACCAAGUGUUGAGUCGACUGACCUGGACGUUGCUCUGAAGAGCCGAGCUCGCGUCAUAAGCUGCUUGGCUGGCCUCCUGAGCCAUCUUCACUUGCUCCAUCAUGAUACCCGCCUGGCGUAUAGCUUCUUUUGCGGCAGCCGCUUGGUCCUCAGGGACAGGGUACGCGGCAAAAAGUGAAGGCGGAUCCGCAGUCGACGUCGAAGGCCGCACACUUGUCAGAGGAACGGCGAAAGUCACAGAAGCCCGAGUGGUGUCACCACCAUCCCGAGCUACGGCCUCAGACGCCGGAGCAGAUUGGGGGGUUUCGUCAGCCGACGCCCUCUUGUUCCACCUCACUCUCAGCGGUUCGUUGUCGUCGUCGUCCGGGAGGUUGAUAACAUGAGGAGGGGCUACAAGGGAAACAUUCAAUCGACCAGAGUUGCAAUAAAUGUUCAGUCGACUCAAAAGCAGAACGUCAGCAAUCGUACCAGGCUUGGAGGUAACAGUUGAAGGAAAUAUGCCCUAGGCAAUAAUAAAGUUAUUAUUUAUUUCCUUAUAUCAUGAUAAAUGUUUAUUAUUCAUGCUAGAAUUGUAUUAAUCGGAAACAUAAUACUGUGUGAAUACAUAGACAAACAGAGUGUCACUAGUAUGCCUCUACUUGACUAGCUCGUUAAUCAAAGAUGGUUAUGUUUCCUAACCAUGGACAAGGAGUUGUUAUUUGAUUAACGGGAUCACAUCAUUAGAUGAAUGAUCUGAUUGACAUGACCCAUUCCAUUAGCUUAGCACCCGAUCGUUUAGUAUGUUGCUAUUGCUUUCUUCAUGACUUAUACAUGUUCCUAUGACUAUGAGAUUAUGCAACUCCCGUUUGCCGGAGGAACACUUUGUGUGCUACCAAAUGUCACAACGUAACUGGGUGAUUAUAAAGGAGCUCUAUAGGUGUCUCCAAAGGUACAUGUUGGGUUGGCGUAUUUCGAGAUUAGGAUUUGUCACUCCGAAUGUCGGAGAGGUAUCUCUGGGCCCUCUCGGUAAUGCACAUCACUUAAGCCUUGCAAGCAUUGCAACUAAUGAGUUAGUUGCGGGAUGAUGUAUUACGCACCGAGUAAAGAGACUUGCCGGUAACGAGAUUGAACUAGGUAUUGGAUACCGACGAUCGAAUCUCAGGCAAGUAACAUACCGAUGACAAAGGGAACAACGUAUGUUGUUAUGCGGUCUGACCGAUAAAGAUCUUCGUAGAAUAUGUAGGAGCCAAUAUGGGCAUCCAGGUCCCGCUAUUGGUUAUUGACUGGAGACGUGUCUCGGUCAUGUCUACAUUGUUCUCGAACCGUAGGGUCCGCACGCUUAAGGUUUUGAUGACAGUUAUAUUAUGAGUUUUGAUGUACCGAAGGAGUUCGGAGUCCCGGAUGAGAUCGGGGACAUGACGAGGAGUCUCAAAAUGGUCGAGACGUAAAGAUCUAUAUAUUGGACGACUAUAUUCGGACACCGGAAGUGUUCCGGGUGAUUUCGGAGAAAACCGGAGAGCCGGAGGGUUACCGGAACCCUACCGGGAGAAGUAAUGGGCCAUACGGGCCUUAGUGGAGAGAGAGAGGGGCUGCCAGAGGUGGGCCGCGCGCCACCUCCUCCCUGGUCCGAAUUGGACUAGGGGAGGGGGGCGGCGCCCCCCCUUUCCUACUCCCUCUCCACCUCUUUCCCCCUCCUAGUAGGAGUCCUACUCCUACUAGUAGGAGUCCUACUCCUACUAGGAGGAGGACUCCUCCUUGGCGCGCCACACCUGGCCGGCCGGCCUCCUCCCCUUGCUCCUUUAUAUACGGGGGCAGGGGGUCACCCCAAGACACACAAGUUGAUCCACGUGAUCGUUCCUUAGCCGUGUGCGGUGCCCCCUGCCACCAUAUUCCACCUCGAUCAUAUCGUUGUAGUGCUUAGGCGAAGCCCUACGUCGGUAGAACAUCAUCAUCGUCACUACGCCGUUGUGCUGACGAAACUCUUCCCCGAAGCUUUGCUGGAUCGGAGCCCGGGGAACGUCAUCCAGCUGUACGCGUGCUAAGAACUCGGAGGUGCCGGAGUAACGGUGCUUGGAUCGGUCGGAUCGGGAAGACGUACGACUACUUCCUCUACGUUGCGUCAACGCUUCCAUUGCGGUCUACGAGGGUACGUAGACAACACUCUCCCCUCUCGUUGCUAUGCAUCACCAUGAUCUUGCGUGUGCGUAGGAAUUUUUUUGAAAUUACUACGUUCCCCAACAGUGGCAUCUGAGCCUAGGUUUUAUGGUUUGAUGUUAUUUGCACGAGUAGAACACAAGUGAGUUGUGGGCGAUAUAAGUCAUUCUGCCUACCAGCAUGUCAUACUUUGGUUCGGCGGUAUUGUUGGAUGAAGCGGCCCGGACCGACAUUACGUGUACGCUUACGCGAGACCGGUUUCCCCGACGUGCUUUGCACAUAGGUGGCUUGCGGGUGAAUGUUUCUCCAACUUUAGUUGAACCGAGUGUGGCUACGCCCAGUCCUUGCGAAGGUUAAAACGGAGUCAAAUUGACAAACUAUCAUUGUGGUUUUGAUGCGUAGGUGAGAUUAGUUCUUGCUUAAGCCCGUAGCAGCCACGUAAAACUUGCAACAACAAAGUAGAGGACGUCUAACUUGUUUUUGCAGGGCAUGUUGUGAUGUGAUAUGGUCAAGACAUGAUGCUAAAUUUUAUUGUAUGAGAUGAUCAUGUUUUGUAACCGAGUUAUCGGCAACUGGCAGGAGCCAUAUGGUUGUCGCUUUAUUGUAUGCAAUGCAAUCGUGAUGUAAUGCUUUACUUUAUCACUAAGCGGUAGCGAUAGUCGUGGAAGCAUGAGAUUGGCGAGACGACAAUGAUGCUAUGAUGGAGAUCAAGGUGUCGCGCCGGUGACGAUGGUGAUCAUGACGGUGCUUCGGAGAUGGAGAUCACAAGCACAAGAUGAUGAUGGCCAUAUCAUAUCACUUAUAUUGAUUGCAUGUGAUGUUUAUCUUUUAUGCAUCUUAUCUUGCUUUGAUUGACGGUAGCAUUUUAAGAUGAUCUCUCACUAAUUAUCAAGAAGUGUUCUCCCUGAGUAUGCACCGUUGCGAAAGUUCUUCGUGCUGAGACACCACGUGUUGAUCGGGUGUGAUAGGCUCUACGUUCAAAUACAACGGGUGCAAAACAGUUGCACACGCGGAAUAUUCAGGUUAUACUUGACGAGCCAAGCAUAUACAGAUAUGGCCUCGGAACACGGAGACCGAAAGGUCGAGCGUGAAUCAUAUAGUAGAUAUGAUCAACAUAGUGAUGUUCACCAAUGAAACUACUCCAUCUCACGUGAUGAUCGGACAUGGUUUAGUUGAUUUGGAUCACGUGAUCACUUAGAGGAUUAGAGGGAUGUCUAUCUAAGUGGUAGUUCUUAAGUAAUAUGAUUAAAUUGAAAUUAAAUUUAUCAUGAACUUAGUCCUGGUAGUAUUUUGCAAAUUAUGUUGUAGAUCAAUAGCUCGCGUUGUUGCUUCCCUGUGUUUAUUUUGAUAUGUUCCUAGAGAAAAUUGUGUUGAAAGAUGUUAGUAGCAAUGAUGCGGAUUGGAUCCGUGAUCUAAGGUUUAUCCUCAUUGCUGCACAGAAGAAUUAUGUCCUUGAUGCACCGCUGGGUGACAGAGCUAUUGCAGGAGCAGAUGCAGAUGUUAUGAACGUUUGGCUAGCUCAAUAUGAUGACUACUUGAUAGUUUAGUGCACCAUGCUUAAUGGCUUAGAAUCGGGACUUCAAAGACAUUUUGAACGUCAUGGACCAUAUGAGAUGUUCCAGGAGUUGAAGUUAAUAUUUCAAGCAAAUACCCGAGUUGAGAGAUAUGAAGUCUCCAACAAGUUCUAUAGCUAAAAGAUGGAGGAGAAUCGCUCAACUAGUGAGCAUGUGCUCAAAUUGUCUGGGUACUACAAUCGCUUGAAUCAAGUGGGAGUUAAUCUUCCAGAUAAGAUAGUGAUUGACAUAAUUCUCUAGUCACCAUCACCAAGUUAGUAGAACUUCGUGAUGAACUAUAAUAUGCAAGGGAUAACGGAAACAACUCCCAAGCUCUUCGUGAUGCUGAAAUCAACGAAGCUAGAAAUCAAGAAAAAACAUCAAGUGUUGAUGGUUGACAAGACCACUAGUUUCAAGAAAAGGGCAAAGGGAAGAAGGGGAACUUCAAGAAGAACGGCAAGCAAGUUGCUGCUCAAGUGAAGAAGCCCAAGUCUGAUCCUAAGCCUGAGACUAAGUGCUUCUACUGCAAAGGGACUGGUCACUGGAAGUGGAACUGCCCCAAGUAUUUGGCGGAUAAGAAGGAUGGCAAGGUAAACAAAGGUAUAUUUGAUAUACGUGUUAUUGAUGUGUACCUAGUGUUUAUAGCAACCCCUCGGCAUUUGAUACUGGUUCAGUUGCUAAGAUUAGUAACUCGAAACAGGAGUUGCAGAAUAAACAGAGACUAGUUAAGGGUGAAGUGACGAUGUGUGUUGGAAGUGGUUCCAAGAUUGAUAUGAUCAUCAUCGCACACUCCCUAUAAUUUCGGGAUUAGUGUUGAACCUAAAUAAGUGUUAUUUGGUGUUUGCGUUGAGCAUGAAUAUGAUUUGAUCAUGUUUAUUGUAAUACGGUUAUUCAUUUAAGUAAGAGAAUAAAUUGUUGUUCUGUUUACAUGAAUAAAGCCUUAUAUGGUCAUACACCCAAUGAAACAAGUUCGUUGGAUCUCGAUCGUAGUGAUACACAUAAUCAUAAUAUUGAAACCAAAAGAUACAAAGUUAAUAAUGAUAGUGCAACUUAUUUGUGGCACUACCGUUCAGGUCAUAUUGGUGUAAAGCGCCUGAAGAAACUCCAUGCUGAUGGGCUUUUAGAAUCACUUGAUUAUGAAUCAGUUGAUGCUUGCGAACCAUGCCUCAUGGGCAAGAUGACUAAGACUCCGUUCUCCGGAGCGAGCAACUGACUUAUUGGAAAUAAUACAUACUGAUGUAUGCGGUCCGAUGAGUGUUAAGGCUCACGGCAAGUAUCGUUAUUUUCUGAACUUCACAGAUGAUUUGAGCAGAUAUGGGCAUAUCUACUUGAUGAAACAUAAGUCUGAAACAUUUGAAAAGUUCAAAGAAUUUCAGAGUGAAGUGGAAAAUCAUCGUGACAAGAAAAUAAAGUUUCUACGAUCUGAUCGCGGAGACAAAUAUUUGAGUUACGAGUUUGGUCUUCAGUUAAAAACAAUGUGAAAUAGUUUCACUACUCAUGCCACCUGGAACACCACAAAAUAAUGGUGUGUCCGAACGUCAUAACCGUACUUUAUUAGAUAUGGUGCGACCUAUGAUGUUUCUUACCGAUUUACCACUAUCGUCUUGGGGUUAUGCAUUAAAGACAGCCGCAUCCACGUUUAAAAGGGCACCAUCUAAGUCCGUUGAGACGACACAAUCUGAACUGUGGUUUGGCAAGAAACCAAAGUUGUCGUUUCUUAAAGUUUGGGAUUGUGAUGCUUAUAUGAAAAGGUUUCAUCCUGAUAAGCUCAAAACCAAAUCGGAGAAAUAUGUCUUCAUAGGAUACCCAAAGGAAACUGUUGGGUACACCUUCUAUCAUAGAUCCGAAGGCAAAUUUGUUGCCAAGAAUGGAUCCUUUCUAGAGAAGGAGUUUCUCUCGAAAGAAGUGAGUGGGAGGAAAGUAGAAAACUUGAUAAGGUAAUUGUACCUUCUCCCUUAUUGGAAAGUAGUUCAUCACAAAAAUCUGUUCUUGUGACUACUACACCAAUUAGUGAGGAAGCUAAUGAUGAUAAUCAUGUAACUUCAGAUCAAGUUACUACCGAAUCUCGUAGGUAAACCAGAGUGAGAUCCGCACCAGAGUGGUACGGUAAUCAUGUUCUGAAGGUCAUGUUACUUGACCAUGACGAACCUACGAACUAUGAGGAAGCGAUGAUGAGCCCAGAUUCCACGAAAUGGUUGGAGGCCAUGAAAUCUGAGAUAUGAUCCAUGUAUGAGAACAAAGUUUGGACUUUGGUUGACUUGCCCGAUGAUCGGCAAGCAAUUGAGAAUAAAUGGAUCUUCAAGAGGAAGACGGACACUGAUAGUAGUGUUACUAUCUACAAAGCUAGAAUUGUCGCAAAAGGUUUUCGACAAGUUCAAGGUGUCAACUACGAUGAGAGCUUCUCACUCGUAUCUAUGCUUGAGUCUGUCCGAAUCAUGUUAGUAAUUGCCGCAUUUUAUGAAAUCUGGCAAAUGGAUAAACAAAACUGCAUUCCUUAAUGGAUUUAUUAAAGAAGAGUUGUAUACGAUGCAACCAGAAGGUUUUGUCAAUCCGAAAGGUGCUAACAAAAUGUGCAAGCUCCAGCGAUCCAUCUGUGGACUGGUGCAAGCAUCUCGGAGUUGGAAUAUACGCUUUGAUGAGUUGAUCAAAGCAUAUAGUUUUAUACAGACUUGCGGUGAAGCCUGUAUUUACAAGAAAGUGAGUGGGAGCACUACAACAUUUCUGAUAAGUAUAUGUGAAUGACAUAUUGUUGAUCGGAAAUAAUGUAGAACUAUUCUGUAAAGCAUAAAGGAGUGUUUGAAAAGAAUUUUUCAAAGAAAGACUUCGGAGAAGCUGCUUACAUAUUGAGCUCCAAGACCUAUAGAGAUAGAUCAAGACGCUUGAUAAGUUUUUUCAAUGAGUACAUACCUUGACAAGAUUUUGAAGUAGUUCAAAAUGGAGCAGUCAAAGAAAGAGUUCUUGCCUGUAUUACAAGGUGUGAAGUUGAGUAAGACUCAAAGCCCGACCACGGCAGAAGAUAGAAAGAGAAUGAAAGUCAUUCCCUAUGCCUUGGCCAUAGGUUCUAUAAAGUAUGUCAUGCUGUAUACCGGAUCUAUUGUAUACCCUGCACUGAUUAGGCAAGAGAGUACAAUAGUGAUCUAGGAGUAGAUCACUGGACAACGGUCAGAAUUAUCCUUAGUGAAAUAAGGAUAUGUUUCUCGAUUAUGGACGUGGCAAAAAGGUUCGUCGUAAAGGGUUACGCCGAUGCAUGUUUUGACACUAAUCUAGAUGACUCUAGGUCUCGGUCUAGAUACAUAUUGAAAGUGGGAGCAAUUAGCUAGAGUAGCUCCAUGCAGAGCAUUAUUGACAUAGAAAUUUGCAAAAUACAUGUGGAUCUAAAUGUGGAAGACCCGUUAACUAAGAUUCUCUCACAAGCAAAACAUGAUCACACCUUAGUAAUCUUUGGGUGUUAAUCACAUAGCGAUGUGAACUAGAUUACUGAAUCUAGUAAACCCUUUGGGUGUUGGUCACAUGGCGAUGUGAACUAUGGGUGUUAAUCACAUGAUGAUGUGAACUAUCGAUGUUAAUCACAUGGUGAUGUGAUCUAGAUUAUUGACUCUAGUGCAAGUGGGAGACUAAAGGAAAUAUGCCCUAGAGGCAAUAAUAAAGUUAUUAUUUAUUUCCUUAUAUCAUGAUAAAUGUUUAUUAUUCAUGCUAGAAUUGUAUUAACCGGAAACAUAAUACAUGUGUGAAUACAUAGACAAACAGAGUGUCACUAGUAUGCCUCUACUUGACUAGCUCGUUAAUCAAAGAUGGUUAUGUUUCCUAACCAUGGACAAGGAGUUUUUAUUUGAUUAACGGGAUCACAUCAUUAGAUGAAUGAUCUGAUUGACAUGACCCAUUCCAUUAGCUUAGCACCCGAUCGUUUAGUAUGUUGCUAUUGCUUUCUUCAUGACUUAUACAUGUUCCUAUGACUAUGAGAUUAUGCAACUCCCGUCUACCGGAGGAACACUUUGUGUGCUACCAAACGUCACAACGUAACUGGGUGAUUAUAAAGGAGCUCUACAGGUGUCUCCAAAGGUACGUGUUGGGUUGGCGUAUUUCGAGAUUAGGAUUUGUCACUCCGAAUGUCGGAGAGGUAUCUCUGGGCCCUCUCGGUAAUGUACGGAACGAAUAAAGAGACUUGCCGGUAACGAGAUUGAACUAGGUAUUGGAUACCGACGAUCGAAUCUCAGGCAAGUAACAUACCGAUGACAAAGGGAACAACGUAUGUUGUUAUGCGGUCUGACCGAUAAAGAUCUUCGUAGAAUAUGUAGGAGCCAAUAUGGGCAUCCAGGUCCCGCUAUUUGUUAUUGACCGGAGACGUGUCUCGGUCAUGUCUACAUUGUUCUCGAACCGUAGGGUCCGCACGCUUAAGGUUUCGAUGACAGUUAUAUUAUGAGUUUUGAUGUACCGAAGGAGUUCGGAGUCCCGGAUGAGAUCGGGGACAUGACGAGGAGUCUCAAAAUGGUCGAGACGUAAAGAUCGAUAUAUUGGACGACUAUAUUCGGACACCGGAAGUGUUCCGGGUGAUUUCGGAGAAAACCGGAGAGCCGGAGGGUUACCGGAACCCUACCGGGAGAAGUAAUGGGCCAUAUGGGCCUUAGUGGAGAGAGAGAGGGGCUGCCAGAGGUUGGCCACGCACCACCUCCUCCCUGGUCCGAAUUGGACUAGGGAAGGGGGCGGCGCCCCCCUUUCCUACUCCCUCUCCACCUCUUUCCCCCUCCUAGUAGGAGUCCUACUCCUACUAGGAGGAGGACUCCUCCUUGGCGCGCCACACCUGGCCGGCCGGCCUCCUCCCCUUGCUCCUUUAUAUACGGGGGCAGGGGGCACCCCAAGACACACAAGUUGAUCCACAUGAUUGUUCCUUAGCCGUGUGCGGUGCCCCCUGCCACCAUAUUCCACCUCAAUCAUAUCGUUGUAGUGCUUAGGCGAAGCCCUGCGUCGGUAGAACAUCAUCAUCGUCACCACGCCGUUGUGCUGACGAAACUCUUCCUCGAAGCUUUGCUGGAUCGAAGCCCGGGGAACGUCAUCGAGCUGUACGUGUGCUAAGAACUCGGAGGUGCCGGACUAACGGUGCUUGGAUCGGUCGGAUCGGGAAGACGUACGACUACUUCCUCUUUGUUGCGUCAACGCUUCCGUUGCGGUCUACGAGGGUACGUAGACAACACUCUCCCCUCUCGUUGCUAUGCAUCACCAUGAUCUUGCGUGUGCGUAGGAAAUUUUUUGAAAUUACUACGUUCCCCAACAACAGCAUCCUCCAUCUCUUGGUCGUCGUCCUUGGCGGAGACCUCAGAAGUAGCAGCGCUGCAAAUCUCGAAAGUCAGUCAGUUGGCUCAAUGAAUCGACCAAGGAUCUGUCCACGGUCGACGAAGGAAAGCAAGUUUUAUUAUUACCCGGAAAUGGUAGGGACAUCUAUCUUCAUCUUGGGCAGAGCCUUGGGCGGCUUGGACAGCGUCGUGCGUGGGUACUUGGGAACCUUCCCAGUCGGUGUAGGAGAAGAGGUCCGAGGGCGUUUCGACGACUGCCCAACAGAAGCAGUUGCCUUGCCACGUUCCCGCGCUGGGUCGUGUGUGAGCUUGGACCGCCUCUCCGGGCGAGGGGGUUCGACCUCCUCCUCCUCCUCUUCGCUGGAGUCGACAUUGUCGUCUCCCUCUCCUUCACCGUCGGACUCCCACUCGCCUUGGUCGUCCCCACUCUCACCUCCGCUCGCCUCCCCUUCCUCAGUUGGCUCCUGAGCCCCGUUGGGCGUCGAGUACAUCUUGGUGGUCGCCUGGAAAACAACAGACAAGACGAAAGUCAAUCGACCAACUCAAAGAAGACCAAUGCAGAACACAAGAUUUUAGUCGGGAGCAUAAAGACAUACCUGGUCCACUUCAUACGAGUUGUUGAGUGGAAUUACCCUCCUAGCUCCUCGGGGGUUGUCUUUGUUCCCCGUGAUGCUCGACAGCCACCCCUCCAGCAUCUCGUCGGUGACCUCCUCCGGGUGGAUCCGAGUGGUGUCGUCGAGACCUGAGUACAGCCACAUCGGGUGGUCACGGGCCUGGAGUGGUUGGAUGCACCUCUGGAGGAAGACCUCCAGCAGGUCCAUCCCAGUCACACCCUCACGGACAAGCUCAACCACUCGACCGGCCAACACUUUGACUUGGGCCCUUUCCUCCGGCGUCACUUUCAGAGAAGUGGGUUUUUCAGCUCGGUCGAGGGAGAAAGGAGGAAGACCAGUCGACUGUCCUGGGGUCGCCUGGUCCUGACAGUAGAACCAGGUCGAGUGCCAACCAUGGACCGACUCCGGGAAAGUAAUGGAUGGAAAACAACUCUUUCCCCUCGUCUGGAUCGCCAAGCCCCCGCACAACUGGAUCACCUGCGGCCUCUCGUCACUCGACUUGGCCUUCUUGACCGAUUGAGAACGGCAGGUAAAGAUGUGCUUGAAAAGUCCCCAAUGGGGGCGGCAACCCAAGAAAGCCUCACACAUGGAAAUGAAAGCAGCAAGGUAUACGAUGGAGUUGGGAGUGAAGUGGUGGAGCUGCGCUCCGAAGAAAUUCAGGAAACUCCGGAAAAAAGGAUGGGGCGGCAGAGAAAACCCUCGGUCGAUGUGGGUGGCUAGGAGCACGCACUCACCGUCGCGGGGUUGAGGUUCGAUCUCUUUCCCCGGGAGACGCGCAGCCUCGUGAGGAAUGACUCCCCCCUCGACCAUGUCGUCGAGAUCCUCUUGAAGGAAAUAUGCCCUAGAGGCAAUAAUAAAGUUAUUAUUUACUUCCUUAUAUCAUGAUAAAUGUUUAUUAUUCAUGCUAGAAUUGUAUUAACCGGAAACAUAAUACAUGUGUGAAUACAUAGACAAACAGAGUGUCACUAGUAUGCCUCUACUUGACUAGCUCGUUAAUCAAAGAUGGUUAUGUUUCCUAACCAUGAACAAAGAGUUGUUAUUUGAUUAACGAGGUCACAUCAUUAGUUGAAUGAUCUGAUUGACAUGACCCAUUCCAUUAGCUUAGCACCCGAUCGUUUAGUAUGUUGCUAUUGCUUUCUUCAUGACUUAUACAUGUUCCUAUGACUAUGAGAUUAUGCAACUCCUGUUUGCCAGAGGAACACUUUGUGUGCUACCAAACGUCACAACGUAAAUGGGUGAUUAUAAAGGAGCUCUACAGGUGUCUCCAAAGGUAGAUGUUGGGUUGGCAUAUUUCGAGAUUAGGAUUUGUCACUCCGAUUGUCGGAGAGGUAUCUCUGGGCCCUCUCGGUAAUGCACAUCACAUAAGCCUUGCAAGCAUUGCAACUAAUGAGUUAGUUGCGAGAUGAUGCAUUACAGAACGAGUAAAGAGACUUGCCGGUAACGAGAUUGAACUAGGUAUUGGAUACCGACGAUCGAAUCUCGGGCAAGUAACAUACCGAUGACAAAGGGAACGACGUAUGUUGUUAUGCGGUCUGACCGAUAAAGAUCUUCGUAGAAUAUGUAGGAGCCAAUAUGGGCAUCCAGGUCCCGCUAUUGGUUAUUGACCGGAGAUUUGUCUCAGUCAUGUCUGCAUUGUUCUCGAACCGUAGGGUCCGCACGCUUAACGUUACGAUGACAGUUAUUAUGAGUUUACGCAUUUUGAUGUACCGAAGUUAGUUCGGAGUCCCGGAUGUGAUCACGGACAUGACGAGGAGUCUCGAAAUGGUCGAGACAUAAAGAUUGAUAUAUUGGAUGACUAUAUUCGGACACCGGAAGGGUUCCGGAAGAGUAUCGGAUAAAACCAGAGCACCGGGGGGUUACCGGAACCCCCUGGGGGUUAAUGGGCCUUAUGGGCCUAAAGUGGAGAAGAGGAAGGGGCUGCGAGGGCAGGCCGCGCGCCCCCUCUCCCCCUAGUCCGAAUUGGACAAGGAGGGAGGGGCGGCGCCCCCCCUUUCCUUCUCUCCCCCCUUUCUCCUACUUGGACAAGGAAACGGGAGGGGAGUCCUACUCCCGGUAGGAGUAGGACUCCUCCUGCGCCCUCCUCUAGGCCGGCCGCAUCCCCCCUUGGAUCCUUUAUAUACGGAGGCAGGGGGCACCCUAGAACACACAAGUUGAUCCUUGAGAUCGUUCCUUAGCCGUGUGCAGUUCCCCCUUCCACUAUAUUCCACCUCGGUCAUACCGUUGUAGUGCUUAGGCGAAGCCCUGCGUCGGUUGAACAUCAUCAUCGUCAUCAUGCCGUCGUGCUGACGAAACUCUUCGCCGACGCUUUGCUGGAUCGGAGCCCGGGGAACGUCAUCGAGCUGUACGUGUGCUAAGAACUCGGAGGUGCCGGAGUAACGGUGCUUGGAUCGGUCGGAUCAGGAAGACAUACGACUACUUCCUCUACGUUGCGUCACCGCUUCCGUUGCGGUCUACGACGGUACGUAGACAACACUCUCCCCUCUCGUUGCUAUGCAUCAUCAUGAUCUUGCGUGUGCGUAGGAAUUUUUUUAAAAUUACUACGAAACCCAAUAGUGGUAUCAGAGCCUAGGUUUUAUGGUUUGAUGUUAUAUGCACGAGUAGAACACAAGUGAGUUGUGGGCGAUAUAAGUCAUACUGCCUACCAGCAUGUCAUACUUUGGUUCGUCCGUAUUGUUGGACGAGACGACCCAAACCAACAUUACGCGUACGCUUACGCGAGACCGGUUCUCCCGACGUGCUUUGCACAUAGGUGGCUUGCGGGCGACUGUCUCCCCAACUUUAGUUUAACCGAGUGUGGCUACGCCCGGUUCUUGCGAAGGUUAAAACAGAGUCAAAUUGACAAACUAUCGUUGUGGUUUUGAUGCGUAGGUGAGAUUGGUUCUUGCUUAAGCCUGUAGCAGCCACGUAAAACUUGCAACAACAAAGUAGAGGACGUCUAACUUGUUUUUACAGGGCAUGUUGUGAUGUGAUAUGUUCAAGGCAUGGUGCUGAAUUUUAUUGUAUGAGAUGAUCAUGUUUUGUAACCGAGUUAUCGGCAACUGGCAGGAGCCAUAUGGUUGUCACUUUAUUGUAUGCAAUGCAAUCGCGCUGUAAUGCUUUACUUUAUCACUAAGCGGUAGCGAUAGUCGUGGAAGCAUAAGAUUGGCGAGACGACAAUGAUACUACGAUGGAGAUCAAGGUGUCGCGCCGGUGACGAUGGUGAUCAUGACGGUGCUUCGGAGAUGGAGAUCACAAGCACAAGAUGAUGAUGGCCAUAUCAUAUCACUUAUAUUGAUUGCAUGUGAUGUUUAUCUUUUUAUGCAUCUUAUCUUGCUUUGAUUGACGGUAGCAUUAUAAGAUGAUCUCUCACUAAAUUAUCAAGAAGUAUUCUCCCUGAGUAUGCACCGUUGCGAAAGUUCUUCGUGCUGAGACACCACGUGAUGAUCGGGUGUGAUAGGCUCUACGUUCAAAUACAACGGGUGCAAAACAGUUGCACACGCGGAAUACUCAGGUUAUACUUGACGAGCCAAGCAUAUACAGAUAUGGCCUCGGAACACGGAGACCGAAAGGUGGAGCGUGAAUCAUAUAGUAGAUAUGAUCAACAUAAUGAUGUUCACCGAUGAAACUACUCCAUCUCACGUGAUGAUCGGACAUGGUUUAGUUGAUUUGGAUCACGUGAUCACUUAGAGGAUUAGAGGGAUGUCUAUCUAAGUGGGAGUUCUUAAGUAAUAUGAUUAAUUGAACUUAAAUUUAUCAUGAACUUAGUACCUGAUAGUAUCUUGCUUGUUUAUGUUUGAUUGUAGAUAGAUGGCUCGUGCUGUUGUUCCGUUGAAUUUUAAUGCGUUCCUUGAGAAAGCAAAGUUGAAAGAUGAUGGUAGCAAUUACACGGACUGGGUCCGUAACUUGAGGAUUAUCCUGAUUGCUGCAUAGAAGAAUUACGUCCUGGAAGCACCGCUGGGUGCCAGGCCUGCUGCUGGAGCAACACCAGAUGUUAUGAACGUCUGGCAGAGCAAAGCUGGUGACUACUCGAUAGUUCAGUGUGCCAUGCUUUACGGCUUAGAAUCGGGACUUCAACGACGUUUUGAACGUCAUGGAGCAUAUGAGAUGUUCCAGGAGUUGAAGUUAAUAUUUCAAGCAAAUGCCCGGAUUGAGAGAUAUGAAGUCUCCAAUAAGUUCUAUAGCUGCAAGAUGGAGGAGAACAGUUCUGUCAGUGAGCAUAUACUCAAAAUGUCUGGGUAUAAUAAUCACUUGAUUCAAUUGGGAGUUAAUCUUCCGGAUGAUUGCGUCAUUGACAGAAUUCUCCAAUCACUGCCACGAAGCUACAAGAGCUUCGUGAUGAACUAUAAUAUGCAAGGGAUGAAUAAGACUAUUCUCGAGCUCUUCGCAAUGCUGAAAGCCGCGGAGGUAGAAAUCAAGAAGGAGCAUGAAGUGUUGAUGGUCAACAAGACCACUAGUUUCAAGAAAAAGGGCAAAGGGAAGAAGAAGGGGAACUUCAAGAAGAACGGCAAGCAAGUUGCUGCUCAAGAGAAGAAACCCAAGUCUGGACCUAAGCCUGAAACUGAGUGCUUCUACUGCAAGCAGACUGGUCACUGAAGCGGAACUGCCCCAAGUAUUUGGCGGAUAAGAAGGAUGGCAAGGUGAACAAAGGUAUAUGUGAUAUACAUGUUAUUCAUGUGUACCUUACUAAUGCUCGCAGUAGCACCUGGGUAUUUGAUACUGGUUCUGUUGCUAAUAUUUGCAACUUGAAACAGGGACUACGGAUUAAGCGAAAAUUGGCUGAGGACGAGGUGACGAUGCGCGUGGGAAACGGUUCCAAAGUCGAUGUGAUCGCGGUCGGCACGCUACCUCUACAUCUACCUUCCGGAUUAGUAUUAGACCUAAAUAAUUGUUAUUUGGUGCCAGCAUUGAGCAUGAACAUUAUAUCUGGAUCUUGUUUAAUGCGAGAUGGUUAUUCAUUUAAAUCAGAGAAUAAUGGUUGUUCUAUUUAUAUGAGUAAUAUCUUUUAUGGUCAUGCACCCUUGAAGAGUGGUAUGUUCUU